rnacentral:lncRNA from 1 species
AUCAUUAGCUGAGCCCCAAAACUUCAAAACCCAUAACAAAAAACCUAAAGUUUGCAAAUUUCAUUGAUUCAAACCAAACCCAACAAAAAAGAAUUGUGGGUUUUGCAGAAGAAGAUCAACUUACUAUCAGCUGAACCCCAACACUUUCAAAAACCCUAAAGUUUGCAAAUUUUCAUUGCUUCACACCAAACCCAACAAAAAAAGACAAAUGGGUUUUGCAGAAGAAGAUCAACUCACCAUCGCUUGUUGGAGAAGGAGCUGGGGCCUGCCCAUAACUCAGGCUCAGGAGAGCCAUAAGCACAAACCCAAUGAUUGGAAGGGCACAAGAUCUCAUCGAAUUCAUCCUCAACCCCCAAAAAAUAAAUAAAUCUGAACUAAAUUAGGGUAAUGAAAACUAAAGAAAUGAAGGAAUUAAAGGAAAAUGAUGAGAGAUUUUAAGAUGGGAUGGGGGCUGCGCAUACAGUUGAUGUGGUAUUUAUAUAUGUGGAGGGGUGGUGGGGUUUCUAGAAGAACAUGGCAACAUGGGAACAUGGUGGUGGUGGCGAACAAACAUGUGCGGUUUCUUGGAAAGUGGAAGAGAGAGAAAAUGCGUGUCACAUUGCGCGUGUGAGAGAGUGGUUUUGGAAAGGAAAAGCACGCCUUCCUUUGACGUGAUCAUUUUGACUCCGAGUCGGCGGCUUGUUGACUCGGACUCACCAGAAAGCGGGUAAAGAGAGUCCCUUUUCAAGCAAUGGAUUGAGUUGGGUCCCAAGCCCGCCAGAGAAGGCUCAAAGCAGGCUUAUGCCCACUUGGCCCAUGUGUAGGGUUGUUCCAAUAUCUUUAUUUCAAAUAUUUUCGACCGCCUCCAUUAUUUUCAGAGUAUACAAUAAAAUCUCCACUCAUUCCGUUGAUGUUAUUACCAAAAAGAAGAAAAGAAGAUUCCAUAUAAAAUUAUCUAUAUGACUUUGUUUUUUGGGUUAAUAAUGAUUUUUUUACAAACGUGGAUCAGACCGGUUGGUUAAUACAAUUCGAAUUCAUAAUGAUGUUUUUCAUGUGUGAAGUUGAGUGGAUGGCCAUGAUUGGUUUUCCAUGUGAGAGUGGGUGGUCAAAGAGAAGAGAAGAGAAUGGUAGUAUAGUUUUUUGGUUAAUUAAGCGAUGAUUUAGAAUAGUCUUAAACAGAUGCCAGCCACUAAUAGAUACAGUAGGAUUUUAAUUCCAAUUGACAAGAUAUCUUUCUUUUACACAUCUACUACAUUAUGUUUUAAAAAGGGCAGCUGCUGCUGCUUAGCAACCCUUGUCUGGUUUCUUCCUCAUCAGCCGCAAAGCCUCCUCCACAGACAAUGAUCCUGCAAUUAGUAAAACCAAUUUGUUCUUGUUCAUUAUCCCAACAGAAACACACCAGAGAGAUAUAAACAACAAUCUUGCAGUGUAAUGUUCUGAUACAUCUUCUUCGUCGUCGUCUUCUUCUUCUAAUCUUUCUGAGCUCCACCUUAUACCUCUCUGCAGCUGCUGGAUAUUCACCAACAUGUAACACCAGGCUAAGCAGCUCUGCUUCAGCACAGAAUUAAUUUAUUACUUUAUUUAUGCCAUGAUGCUUCUUCUUUUUUUUCCCCCUUUUCAAGAAUAUAAGUUGGUUUAUUGCCAGUGUCUUGCUCUAGUUUUGGAAGAAAAAGUGGGAAAAAAAGGAAAAUAGUGAAGAAUAUUCUUCAAUAUUUUUAUGCAGAAGCGUUGUUUUAGAAACUUCCCUUUGAAGGUUGUUCAAGUACAGACAGAUGACUGACAUUGUGUUCAUGUUAAAUUACUAAAUUGCUUUGAGCUAUUUUCCACUUUCCUUAUUUCUUAUAAACUUCUUUGUGCAUUCAGAUUCCUUCCCUUCUGUUUCCUUCUACUACAACCUUCUUUUUGUCUUCUUAUUCUUAAUAAAGGAAAAAAAAAACUUAUUUUCUGCUUCAAAUUUUCAAUUGAAUUGUCCUCUGCUUAUUGUAAUAUUUCCAAAAUGGCAAACUGCUAGAUUGGAUUGGAUAUAUGUGCACAGGGACAGGGCCUGACUGUGAUAAACGUGGCACCACACAAGCUGUUCGCUACAAUCCAAGAAAAGGCAAGACAUUUAAUUAGGUGAAUAUAUAAUCUGACUAGGAACGCCACACGAUUCCAAAGCCAGCCAAAGCCUAACUCACUCCCCACCCCACCAAAAUCCCUUCCUUCAUGUUGAAGAUUUCUCCCCAAGCAAAAACUUAGCAACAUUAAUUAACCCAUCAUAGUCAUAAACCUACCUAAAUCCUCUGUUUAGGUCUCCCAAACCAGCCAUGCAGGCAUAUCAGCAAGUAACUAGUGCCCACAAUUAAUAAAUAUGCUAGCUAACUGCCUGACUUUAGAACAUACAAAACCUCGGUGCUAAAAUUGCAGAUAUCUGUAGCUCAACUAGUUAAUAAUUGUUAUUCAUGCACUUAAGGUUAUGUGUUCGAGUCUCCCUUCAUAAGACUGUAUAAAUAUACAUACAUAUUGCCGCCACUCAGCACAAUACAGGUGUAUCCGUCUGAGCCAAAACUAGCAUGUACUUGUGUCCAACUGGCAGAAUCAAAGGGACGUGGCAAAACAGAGGCAGCAUCUAACCCUGGUUGGAAAUGAAACCACUCUAUCUUUAGCAUUUUGAUUUUGUUAGUCCAUGGAGCAUAUGAUGUGGACAUGUGUAGCUCUGGUUUGGCUGGCCUCUCUCCAUCAUCUCCACCUUAAACUUAACACACACAAAGAAUUACACAACAUUAACACAAAAGCCUGCCUCGUCAAGAAUUAAAGCAUCUAAAAGGAAAUAGCUUUCCUGGGCAUCAAUUAAAAAGCUACCUCUUUAUGCCAAAUAACUUUACUUAGCCAACCCUCCCUCCCUCCUCUCUGCUAUAAAUAUUAAUUUUCCUCCUCCUGUUAAUUAAUUCCUAGCUAUAUGAUGCUCUGUAGCUUUCAGUUUCAGGUUUGAGGCAGAGGAGAAUUCGGAAAGAAGAAGACAGUAAGAAAUUAUUAUGUGUCAGCCUCACCCAGGUGUGCCUAGUUUGGUUAGGCUGAGAGACUUGGCGCUGCUGCAUCACCAUGGCAGAUGGCUUCUUCUGCAGGGUCCUGCGGUGGUUCAGAUUCAGACGUCAGUGGAUUUGCAUGCCGCUGCUGCUGCAGGCAUGAGAGUCGAAGAGGAGGCUGCUAGUGGUGGUGGUAGAAGAGGUGGCAGCGGUGGCCCGACAAGGCAGUGCCUGUGCUCGCCGACCCGGCAUCCGGGCUCGUUUCGGUGCAGGCAACACCAUGCUGGGUAUGUCUGGGGUACUGGUCGGAUUGUGAGAAAAAACAGCUCCACUAAUUAAUUACUUCCAAAUUAUAAGCCUGCAAAGCGUGUACAAAUUAAGAAGAGAAGGAUGAUUUGCAUAAAUAUAUAUGGGUGUAUGAAUUAAUCACGCAUAUAAUCAACAUCACGUCCUUUCUAUAUGCUGUAAUUUCUUCUUCAAAACCAAGUUUGUUAAAUUUUAAAAAAUAAAAAAUAAAAAAAUUUCCGGUGGAAAGUCCAGUUCAAGUUUAAAAUUUACCAUACUAUGCAUCGAGAUGAAGCAUCAUUACCGUCUUCAUUUAGUCAAAGAAUUCGAUUAGAAUAUAAACACACAAAUCAAUCAGUAAUCUCUCGAAUUGAGAGACCUUUCGUGUUGGAAAAGAAUAUAUGUUUAUAUGUCCCUGCCGUCCAAAACCAAUUUUUAAUAUUCCAAUGUUGACAUGUUUCAUUAUUGCAUUUGAUGGCCUCUAGUGUUUAUGAAAACGACAUUCACAAAUUAACAUGUUUCAAUUCCAAAUUCGAUUCCGAUAACCAAUUUACACUGAUAAAACAAGUUUAUAUAUAUAUAAAAGAUAUCUCCUCAAGGGAACUUUACUCCAUAUUCCCUGUAAUUUAAAUACAAGUAAAAUGAAUCCUCCUUUUCCAUGACUUUUGGUAUAUAAGCACACUGCUCUCUCGCAUUCUACAUGCUGAUAGUAGUUGUGAUCAGUGAGAACUUGAUGAUGCACAUGGACAGGGAGUUGUUGGAACUGUCAUUCACAUUUAGCUCCCAAAUUACAGAUUCUACUGCACUUACAGUCCCUUGAUCUUAACCGCUUCACUGCAAGAUUUAUAACAACGACUUAGUUGAUGUAAAAUACCAAAUGAAAUGUCACCUUUUUGGGGAACUGGUGCAAACCCAGCUUCCCAUAUAUGACACUAAGGCCAUGUUUGGUGAUCAGUAUUGGAUUGGAUUGGAUACUCCCUAUAGCUAAAGCAUGUUUAAGGAAGAAAUGAACAUUUCUUUGAUCAAGUUGAAGGUUGAAGAAGAAAACUUAUCCCAUCUAAUCCCAUCUAAUCCCCACAAAAUGGUAGGAUAACAACACCUUAUAACUAAUCCCUCCUAAUCCCCCUAACAUGGAAAGUCAUUCACCUCUACCGUCAUUUCCUCCUUCAAUAUAACUUAGAUUUAGGGACUUAUCCAAUUCAAUCCAAUCUGGAGCACCAAACGAGGCCUAAGCCUCUACACUAAUUGGGUAUAGCCAAAGAACCUAAACUUGCCCAAACAAUUAGGACUGUAAUUAUAAAUACACAGCAAGAAAAAUGUGAAAACUAUAUCAAUCAGUCGGGACUCGCUGUAUCAGAGGAAACAGCUUCCCAAUGCAUGCAAUUGACUUAGAAAAUGGAUACAAAGUAGAAAUGUAUACUGCUAUAGAGAUUUUGCAGAAAUUUCAAACUAGCCACAAGAAAGAAGAAAUCGGAUCCUCACCUCAGGGCUGCAGUCCUGACGAACAAUUGUCUGAUUGUUUGUAUUUACAUACACCUCACAUGAUGCUUUUGCCUGAUGAACAUUUGUGAUCACAAUUAGAAAAAAUUGCCAAUGAAAGAAUUCACAUCGAAACUAACAUGCAUAUGAUAGAAGGGUCAAAUAGAAAGCGGAUCACACCAUAAUCAAUGGCCUCUUCAGCCACUCAUCCUUAUUACAUUGCAGCAUUUCACAUGUAAUUUUUCUACAGAGUGAUAAAUCCACCAGCAGAUAGGAAUAUUACAGGGUAUGAAAGAACAGAAGAUUUUACUUUUCUUAUCCAAGACGAAAUAAUUUGGGUGUAAACAGGCUGUGCACCAAUCUAUAAUGCAUAUAUCACAAAUUGAAGGGUACCCGUUCUUUAAAUUCACUCAAUUUUGAAAUGACUGAUUAACUUAAAUUGACAUAAACUCAUACACACUACGAACUCCAGAACAUCAAAGAAGAAAUUAAUCAACAAAAUGAAAACAACCACAUUGUGUGAAGCUAAUCUUAGCUAGAUGCAACACUUCUUACACAUAAACCCCCCCAACUCUCUCAUAAGACAUCGAGUAAAACUCAGCCUACUGAAUUUCAUACAGAUACGAAGACCAUUUCACCAACAAAAAGUUUGCAACUUUGUUCAAAAAAUUGACAAGUUUACGGAUUCAAUGCAAAAUUCAAUCUUUAACUUUUACUGUUCCAAGCAAACAUCAGAUAGAAUCAAUACCAACUAAAAGCUUCUACAUUGAAUCAAGAGCAAGUUUACCUUGAUAGGAAUUUUGAAGAAAAAGAGCCCCAAAGUCCCUUCCACCUCCGUAUCAGUAUCAAAGGGUAUUACACCCCUAGCCAAAUCUUCAAGCAAGUAAAACACGUCGUGGAUGACUUCAAGCCCGUCCAGCACGAGCGUGGCGUUCACGUACGACGACCCUCUGGCCCUCACACGCCCUCCAUCGGAGCUCACAAACCCUAGCUCUCUCGCACGGUACCCCACCGUGACGCGGAGCGAGUCAUAGUUCAAAGAAAACAAGUCGCGGUUUCGCACUCUGAUGGUCAGAGAGAAGGAGAGGUCGAGAGUGGGUCUGGGGGACGAGUUGACUCUGACGUGGUUGAGUUUGAGCCGAACGAGUUGCAGGGUGGGGUCGGAGGGGAAGAGGAGGAAGAUGGCGGUGGAGAGGAGAAGGAGGGAGGCGGUGAUUGAGAAGCAGAGGCGGAGACGACGUCGUCUCCUGUAGUUAGGAUUGGGACGGUAAGGAGCUAAAACGACGACGGUUUGCUGGGAUUGGGUGUGGGUCGGGUCGGAUGGGAUCGGAGCAUAGUAUACAGACUCGCCCUUGGAGGCCAUUUUUUGUUGGAACUGAUAAAGACACAAGACUGCACAGAGUUAAAGUCUUAAUUCGCUGCGGCCAAACGGUUCGUUUUAUUUUCGUACGUAAAAUAUUGUGUUGUUGAAUGAUAUGCACCGGUUUGACUUGUCAUGUGGUGGGCCGUAAAUUACGUGGCAGGAUCUGAGUCGUCCACGGUUGGUCCACUCUUAUUUUGGAGUGGACGUGGCAAAACGAGGAGUGGUAAAUAGUUUUUCUUCAAGAAAACGAAAUCCCUAGCCGCGAAGCAGACAUCUCAGAAGGCAAACCAAGCGUCGGUUGUCGUUGUUGCUGAUUUUGGCGGGUGAGAGUUGAGAGAAAGCGCGAGAAAUCAAUGGGUAUAGGGGAAGCAGAGGAGGAAGGACCUAUUUUCAGGGAUAUAAGGCGAUAUUAUUGUGAGUACUGCGGCAUCUGCAGGUCCAAAAAGACCCUGAUUGCUUCUCACGUGCUCACUCACCACAAGGUUUCAGUCCAUUCUUUUUAAGUCUGGUUUUUUAUUGUCCAAUUAUGAAUUUUUAUAAAUUGGGUUUUCGAAUUUGAGGGAUUUACUGUUGUGGGUUCAUUUGGUUUUUGUAUUUUAAACCAAAUUUGAAGCUGGGUUGUCUUCAGAUUGAUUAUCUUAAAUUUUUACUUAUGAUUUGGUUACUUUUGCUACAGGAAGAGAUGGAAAUGGCCAAAGAGGCUGAUGGGGAAAGAGAGAGGGAAAAAUCCAAUACUUGCCAAGAAUGUGGUGCUACUUUUAAAAAACCUGCAUAUCUCAAGCAACACAUGCAAAGCCAUUCCCUUGAGGUAUUAUUUGCUAUUAACUUCAAAUUGUUAAUAAACCUUCACAUUUUUCCAUAGUAUUGGUGUCUGAAGUUGUGUUAAGGAAACCAGCGGCAGCUUGUAUAGUACUCGUCUGACGAUAUUGCUACUGAUUAGUUUGAUAGCUUCAUAACAGCUGAUUGUGUCCAUAGCUUUCCUUAUUUUUCGGAUGAAGGUCCUGUAAUUUUCACAUCAAUUGAAGAUAUAAAUUUUGCAGGAUUCAACAUUUUUAAGAACUAUCCUUCCUUUGGAUAGCGUGAAGCAUUGGAUCCCACACAGAGAACUCCAAAAUGCGAGUGGUUUCUGACUUGACUGGACCAGUAUCAGGUGGGAGACCUCCUGUGAAGCUCCAUCAAGUGAACCUCAAUCACGAACUGCUCGGUUUGAGGUUUGAAUGCUUGAUCAUGUGCACUUUGAAAUUAUAUGGUUAUUCGUUCGUGAAUUCCUUUUAGCUUAUUUUGUACAUUUUGGAUGAGGUUUCUGUAGUAUUUGCAUCAAUUGAAGUUAUAAGUUUUGCAGGAAUCGGCAUUUGAAAGAAGUAUCUGUUGGACAACGUGGAGCAUUGGAUCCCACACAAAGAACUCCAAAAUGCGCAAGGGUUUGACUUGAAUGGACCAGUACCAGGUGGGAGACCUCCUGAGAAGCUCCAUCAAGCAAGCCCCAAUCACGUACUGUUCAGUUAGAAUUGAAUGCUUGUUCACUUGUAUUUUGAAACUAUGGUUAUUGGUUCCUGAAUUCGUUUAGCUUAUUCUUUACAGAGGCCGUACGUUUGUUUGGUGGAUGAUUGUCGUUCCAGCUUCAGAAGAAAGGACCACUUAAAUCGUCAUCUUCUUCAGCACCAAGGGAAACUCUUUAAGUGUCCGAUUGAGAACUGUAAUCGUGGGUUUGUUUCCCAAGGUAACAUGAGGAGGCAUGUGAGAGAACUCCACAAUGAGGAUGAUCCUUUGGCUAAUGUUGGAGGUCAGAAGCAGCAUGUAUGCCAGGAUUGUGGAAAGGUGUUCAAAUUUGCUUCAAAGCUGCAGAAGCAUGAGAAUUCUCAUGGUAGCUUUCAUUUCUGAAUUUGAUCUUCUUUUUGUAUUCUGCCUUGUGUGAGUGCGUCAGUGGUGAAUAAUGGUGUAAGAUACAAAUUUUUCUGAAAAUGAGGGGAUGUGCUUUUGUUGAAGUUUUUGGCGUAUGCUUAAUGCAAACUCUAAAUAUAUCCUUUUAUGUGUGUAGUUAAGCUGGAUUCAGUGGAAGCAUUCUGCUCUGAACCUGGCUGUAUGAAAUAUUUUUCUAAUCAGAAAUGCCUUAAGGCCCAUAUUCAGUCCUGCCACCAACAUAUCACCUGUGAGAUAUGUGGGACCAAGAAGCUGAAAAGGAACAUCGAACGGCAUCUCUGCACGCAUGAAGGGGGACGUGCUUCAGUGGAGAGAAUUAAAUGCAGUUAUAAGGGUUGUCUUCACACAUUUUCAACUGUGAGUUACUGACUUGACUUUUAAUGGGUUUAUGUACACACAUAAAGAACAAACAGAUUUCAUUAUUUUGGAAAGAAAAAAAAUAGUUUUGCAUUCUUUGCGUUGCCAUUGUUUGUUUUUUUAUUGUUUCCAUUUCUGAUUUUGCUUAUACAUUUGCAGAAAUCAAAUCUCCAUCAACAUGUCAAGGCAGUACACCUUGAACAUAAACCUUUUGUCUGUAGCUUUUCGGGUUGUGGCGUGAGAUUCGCAUACAAGCAUGUGAGAGAUAAGCAUGAGAAGACUGGACGUCAUGUCUAUGCAUAUGUGAGUAUUAUUCUUACACAUAAUUCAAUACCCUCAUUUGUUGGAUUUUGGGAUAAGCAUCUUUCCAGGCAAUGCCACAUUAUGAGUUCAUAUGUGGGACAUUAUUGCUUUGAAUUGCAGGGGGAUUUUGAAGAGGCUGAUGAGCAAUUCCGGUCAAGGCCAAGGGGCGGCCGUAAGAGGAAGUACCCCACUAUAGAAAUGCUCGUACGAAAAAGGGUGACUCCACCAGACCAAUUGGGCCAGGAGUCUGAGUACCACUCCUGGUUGCUCUAACAAGAGGCUGAAGACGAGAAUUGAGCCAUGCCCUUGAAGUAAGUGAUUGGACAUAUCCACUACAUACGCUAACCUACGUAGAAGUUUGUGUGUCAUGAAUCUGAACAUUAGAUAUGGAAAUUGGGUGAUGCUGUGAAUCUGAACACUAAAUAUGUAUAGCAUUUCUGUAUUUUUUGAAGAUAAGCAUUAUUCUGUUUAGUUGAAUGGUAUUUAUUAAUCCAAUAGUUGAACCACGACCUCUAUCUGAACUCCGAAGAACAAAUUUGUGCGUUACUUGCCAAACCACCCAUAACUUUGAUGGGCUGGAACAGUCAUUUUGCAUUGGCUCAAAAUUGUGGAAUGAGUGCUCUCUCUUCUUUUAGCUCUCAUUUUUGCUCACCACAUGUUUAUGUGGAACAAAUUUGUUCUGCUUGUGAAUAUAUCGUUUUGGACUUUUUAAACUCAUCCUUUUCAAUAGAACUUUCAAUUACUAUGCGUAGAAAGAAUAAAUAGAUUUAAAUUUGGGUGGAAUAUUUGGUGUGUGGUAUAUAAAUUCCAAUAAAUGGAUGUAUUUUUCAUGGACUGGUACACACGUUUCAAAGAAUUCAAUGUAAAUCCAAGAAUGUUUGACAUGGAAAGAAUGUGACACAUAGCAAAUAUCUGUAUCGGCUUCGGCACGUAACCUUCGAUUCCAGAUUCGACCAUAGGAUAAGAUAAUUGUUCUACUUUCGUUAUUGGAGCCAUCUAAUUAUUGGUUAUGAAAAUCAGGGUUUCUAUUGCUGCAUAUUCACUUGAUAUAAAAACGAGUAAAAUCACAGGCCUUACAAAACUCAUAUCAGAUAUUCCAUUACCCUCUGUUUGGAUGGAGGAAAAUAACUUGGGAUUUAGCUAAAAGUCGGGAAUUGAAGAGGAGAAAUUGAUAUUUUCAUUGUUUGGCAACUUAAACACGGAACUUAUUAAUUGGCACGCGAAAAAAAUCGUAGAAAUUGGAGAUCAAGAUUCCCGAUUUUAAUUUCUGGCAAAAGAGUGGUCAUUUCGCAAAUUCUAUUAUUUCAAGCAGGAAUUCGUUUUCACUAUAAUUUCUGUCAUUUGCAAAAUUUGACACACAUAACCAGAACACUAAAAUUAUUAAUUGACAGAAAUUUAAAGAAUGAAUAUCUAAAUUCCGUAAUUUGAUAAUUCUCUACAAUUUUGAAUUCCUUCAUCCAUAUGGACAAGAAGAAAUAAGAAAAGAAAAGGAGGGGAAAACCAAUAUUAUCCAUACAUAAUUAUUAUCUACAACGAGUCGCCAAGUACUCUGUGCAAAUAAAAUUUCAAGUACUUUUUGUUAUCAAUCGACUUUAAAAGAUUUUGAUGCAAACUCAUUUGCCUUUCCGCAUAAAUAUUUGUUUUUGAGAGGGUAGAAAGAUGCUUCCAUUGAGCAGAAACAAGAGAAGAGAGACAGUGUCAAUGUUUUAUAUUAGUGUAAAACAUUCAGCAACUGCACAUACAUUAAAACUGUAAUACAUAAUUCAUAUAGAAUUUAUAUAUGUAACACACCUGAAUUCAGCAAACAGAGAGAAUAUUGCUUUAUACCUAUUUGUUUAUACAAUAUAGUUUUGUUUGGGGACUUAGAUGUUGCUAACUAAGUAGACUCAAGUACUGACUUGGGAGAGAAAGAAGCCACAGAGUUAUUAUUGGUGGGCAUGGACUUUGAUCGCUUCAUCCAAGCCGAUGAUUGGGACCGGUGAAACCGGCACCGGAACGAUCCUUGAUGAGUUGUUGGUGAGCACAAGCAUUGGCCUCCUUUUGGUGAAAUUGCUGCAGCUUCUGCGUUGCCACCACUUUUUGGAGAAGUUGAGACUGUCAUGCCACUGCCAUGGGAGGCCAUGCCUUGUUGGUGAAGAAUAUGUGUGUGAACUAAUAUGAAAGAAAGAAACUCUUUGUUGGCAAUUUAUUGGCAAUUGGGUUUGUGAAUAUUUAUAGAAAAGAGAAGAAGAAAAAUAGAUUUUAUCCUCGAAGAGGUGUGAGGCCAGAACAAGUAAGCCAAUCAAGUUGUGCCCUUUGAUUCCUCCCUCUUUGUCCCUAGUGUAACCGACUUCACUAUCUCUAAUGUUACGAACACCAAUUUGUUUACCAACUUAUUUGACAAUAUGACACGUAACAACCGGUGUCGGAUGCCAUAAUUCAAAUUAGAAAACUCACUUUUUGUAUGUUUAAGAUAUUGUUUAACACCGAAAAUCAAAAUGGAUAAAUUUGUUUGUUGUUAAGAGCCAACCGAUGCUUUACACGAGUUAUGUAACCCUUCAAACUCUGUAGGCUAGAAUGGUCUAAGUCACAUCUAAAACAGAGGAGGGGGUCAUUAUCUGAUCAAAUUUUAAACAAAUCCAGUGUUAAAGAAGAUAAUAGAGUAACUAAAGAUUCCAUAAUCUACCCCACUUGGAAGGAUUAUGGUAAUAAUGGUUGUACGCAAAUAGCAUAAACUUUGUAAAAAUAUAUAUAUACAAAUUAAAAAGCCUUUGAAGAUGAGGUUUCCAUGUGAGAGCUGAGGAGGGAUCAUGAUCAUCUUUUUCUAUGUGGCUCAUUGCACACGUAUAGAUUCUGCUUCUGGUUUUGCUCUUUUGGUUUUUUUUUUUUUUAAAUAUAAUAUUUUUUCGUGUACAGCAGAUGGUCCAUCUGCUUUCUCCCUAAGUCAAAAGGUUUGGCCUCCCAAUGUAGCCAAGUGUAAGAGCUUUUUGUUGCUUUCUGAUCAUUUUGUAUAUAUCUUAGCCAUGAGCUCUUACUGAUGAUAUGUGGGUAUGUGGGUUGAUCAUGACUUCAUAUGUUCCUGCAAAACUGAACCAGUCUUAUGAAUGUGUAGAAUUCAUUUUAUUUUAGCCAUGACUAUUCUUCGUUCAGGAAAAAAAAAGAAGGGGAAAACAUCUCAAUGCUUGCUCAAGUGAAAAAAAAACUUUCAGAGAAGCUCCAAUUAGUCUUUGUUUCUCCAAAAAUGUCAAGAAAGUGCUGGAAGCUGUUAUCCUGCGUCAUCAUUGAAUUUGAUUAAUGAUUAAAGACAAUGAAAUGGGACCAAGAUACCAAUCAUUGUACUCAAUUUGCCACAUGUUGCGAGUUAAAGUAGGAUAGUCUUUAUCCCAUUCAAAAACGAUAAAGAUAAAGAUAAAUAGUGUGAUGGACUUUAAACCCCCCCUCCCCCCCUCCCAAAACAAAAACAAAAAAAAGCCCCAUUUUUCAGGGUAUAAAAAAAAAGUUUUUAUUUCAUAAAACAAUAACAACUUGGAUAUAUAUCCUUGUAGUUUUUUAUUUAUUAUUUAUUUUUUCUAGAGCAUAUCCUUCUAGUUGUAUUGUAUACAAACAUCUCUUCAAUCUCUUUUUUUUAUUUUAUCAAAGAGACGAAUUUCAUUAAACUUGCAUUAACACUUACUAUAGAAUCAAUUGACGAACCAGAGGACUAAACUCUAAACAUAUCUUCAAUAUGUAUAAAUUAAAAUGAUCCAAAAAAUUAAACCUUGUAAUAUUGUAAGAUUGAGGUGGUACCUAACACCUUCCUCCUCAAGAAACCCAAUUCCACAAGUUUCGUUUUCGUUAAAUGACGGUGACCAAUAUUUCAGUUUUUUAAAGAUAGUAGAUGAAUUCAACAAAGCAAGUCGGCUGGCUCCUUCAGAUUCUGUGUAUUUAAUUUCUUCUCUGAGAAAAAAAAAAAAAAAAGUGAAAGGGCAAAUUACAUGUUUUGGUACUCGUAGAGCAUGUUGUAACUCAAAUUUUUGGUUUGAUAAGGUCCAAAAAUCAUAGCCUAAAUGCAAAUGAACGAUAUAUGAAUGGUGUUUGUGCAAAUAAUCUCGCGGAAGAAUAUUCUCUUCGAGAUCCUUCAACCUUCGAUCUUUCUUCUCUCUCUUCCUCGAUUCCUCAAUUCCUGUAAAAAAGAUUGGAGUAAAUAGACCACACCCGGAAGUAUUGUAGUAAAUAGACCACACCUGGGAGUGUUGGCCAAAGGCCCUCAAAUGCCUAAUCUCCAAUGCCUAAUUUAGUUCAAAUGUUUGUAGGAGCCGGGCGGCUGGAGCCGUGUGUGGUGGAGUAGGUUUAGAUGUAGAUUUUUUGAAGUACUUUGAAUGAUGAAUGAGGUCAUCUAUUUAUAGAAGCCUCGGGGCUAGAGUUUCGUAGAGAAUAUGCUGAGUUUAUUCUCUACCCAAGUUCGUAGAGAUCGAGUCGGACUUGAUAAUAUCUGAAUUAAUGAUAUUAUCUCUUUUUAAGAAGAUAAAUCUGAAUUAAAUGAUAUUAUCUUCUCUUUAUUAGGAUAAUAUCUGAAUUAAUGAUAUUAUCUCUUUAAAUAUUAAUUAAGAUAUUUAUUCCAAUUAAUUAAUUAGCCAGAUAAACUGGUUUAAUUAAUUAAUUUAAGAGAUUAUCUUCUUUUCCACGUGGCGUGCCCUGAUUGGAGACGAAAAUAUAUGCUCCCACAAACGGCAUGUCGUACGGGUUAAGAAAAGUGGGAUAAUGUUGUUGAUGAUUCAUGAAUUUCAUAUGUUGGUGGAAACAGUGACUUGAUCCCCCUGUGUACUGAAAGCAACCUUUAAACAAAGCAUAUGUAAAUGGAAAAGAAGAAAGUAGACAAAAAAAGGCAGCUAGCAAACAACUACCAGUCAACCAACAAAACUACCAGUCAGUUUGAAAUGCUAUUGCCAAUUCAAAUCUUCCUUCUUCCAUGCGUUUUUCCUGGUGGUCAAAUGCCAAUCAAGUGCUUCACCAUUCCCUGGAAACAGAAAAACCAACAGGAAAGCUUUGUGUAAAUGGUCUUUUGUUUUGUUUUCUCUCCCGGCUUCCUCAUCUCAUUGGUGCCUUUGCUUUGUUUUCACUUUCAAACUCAUAACUCUUAUCUCUUCCUGGCUUCCCCUGAAACUUGAGAAAGCUGCAGUGAUUAAGCGAUACGAUCCAUGGCGAGAACAGGCAAUAAGAACAUACAAGCCAAGCUGGUGGGUAUGUCUUCCUUUAUAUUUUCUUUCAUUCACUUUACUUGUGUGCAUGAAAUGGGAUACUCUUAAUUACUAGUUUCUUUUUAUGUAUAUGUCAUAUGUUAUAUAUAUAUAUAUAUAUAUAUAUGUGUGUUUGGUUUGUAAUUCAGGGAAAUAAAUUGAGUUUUUUUCUUGGAGGAUCACAGAUCACUUGAAAUAUGCCUAGCCUAGAUUUGAGGAGUAGAAGUUGAUGUCUUAAACUUCUUGUUUCUAUUUGAAUGCUUAGCUGAUUGUAAUUCACUUGAUGAGCAGCAUCUAUGAUGCUAUGAUUAUAUGUUUUUUUCAAAUUUAUCUAUCUGAAUUCAGAAUUUGUAUAUCCCCCAUAUAAGUAAUUACCUUCUGAAAAAGUCUUGGUUCUUAGAUUGUUUGGAUUGUUACAUUUUUUCCAUCAAAAUAUUUUAGCAUUGAGAACUAGCAAGAGGAGUUCAUCUUGGUCAAUUAAUUGGCUUUAUCAUUGCUUUUUCCCAGGUACUUCUUGGGGACAUGGGAACUGGGAAGACAAGCUUGGUAUUGAGAUUUGUGACAGGAAAAUUUUUGGAGUACCAGGUUCACUUUGAAUAUAUAUAGAAUCUUUCUCUGUAGAAAUUGUAGCAUUAUUAGUUCUUGGUCUCUAACAUGUGUAAGCUGCAGGAAUCAACAAUUGGAGCAGCUUUCUUCACUCAGGUUCUGUCACUAAAUGAAGCUACCAUCAAAUUUGAUAUAUGGGACACUGCGGGUCAGGAACGGUACCAUAGCCUGGCUCCUAUGUACUACCGUGGUGCCGCUGCAGCUGUUGUGGUGUAUGAUAUCACAAGCAUGGUAUGGUAACUAAACUAAAAUAUCCAACAGGGUUUCGAUCCUUACGUUUGUUGCUAGUUUUUCACAUGUUCAUGUUUGUCACACACAGAAUGCCUUGAAAGAUCGCCAAUGAACUUAAAUGUUUGUCACAUUUGUUGCUAGCUUUUCACAUAUUCAUGUUCGUACACGUGUCUUCUAAUGCUGCCAUUCUAAGUUUAUCUGCUGUCUGCAUGAAGUUUUUCGCUUUUCAUUCUUCCUGAAGCAGAGAUACUUCAUAAUAUGUCUGCUGUGCAACAGAAAGAUUUCUCUUAGAAUAUGCCUGGUUCAAUAUGUGGUGUUCUGGCUGCAGGAAUCAUUUGUGAGAGCAAAAAAGUGGGUUCAAGAAUUGCAAAGACAAGGUGCAUGACAGUUUUUGUACUUUUUGAAAAGUUUUGGAGUCUGAUCAGUGUUUUCUGGUUCAUGUGAAUUUCAAUAUUGUUUCAAGCUAAAGUAAAUUUUGUUCAAAUCCUUAUUUGAUCUCAGCAAAUCCAACUCUAAUAAUGUUCUUGGCCGGUAACAAGGCUGACUUGGAAGAGAAGAGAAAAGUGGGGUUUGAGGUAUUCACUCUUCACCAUCCCAUGUUCCUUUUUGGUCAUUUUUCAUAUUCAUACAAGUACAAUGAAAGGCACACCUGUUAGAUUUAUAACAGAAUCUGAAACUAUAUUUUUAUUGAUUCUUAGAUUGUUUUGCAAAUGACUACUUUUUCUGUUUGAUACUGCAGGAAGGUGAGCAAUAUGCCAAGGAAAAUGGCUUGGUUUUUCUUGAAACAUCUGCCAAAACUGCACAGAAUGUCAAUGAGCUCUUUUAUGAAAUAGGUACACCCCUAUUUCAUAUGUCAUGCAAAUUGUUUAAAUCCCGGAUCUUCUUUACCAUGCUUAUGAAAGCAAGUCUUUUUGCAGCAAAAAAGUUGGCUAAAGCUAGCCCUUCUCGUCCAACUGGGAUAAAAUUGCAUAGCAGAUCACAGCAAAACAGCAGGAGAAUGUUUUGUUGCUCUUGAUGAUGCCGGUAUGCAACUUUCUUCUGCGCAUCAAAUUUAUCAUUUCAAAUCAAGUCUUCAAUAGAUUCUUUAAUAUGAUUCUUUUUUUCUUUUUUUUUUUUUUUUUGCUUUUCCCAGAAGCAACAAACAUAUACUUGUAUGAUUACAGGUUCAUCUGUGUUCAAGGACAUCAUGGUUCAAGAAGAUGGAGAAACUAACUAAUCCUGGCUCAUGAUCAAGGACAUGGUUCAUCUGCGAGCUCUGAGAAUCGCGCUUUACAAAUAUUAAUUUUCUUUAGUUAUGUACAUUAUAAGAAUUAUUUCAUUAUGUUCAUUUGAUGUUCAAGAGUGAUUGUGGAACAUAAUAUGGAGAAGCAAAAUGCAACGUGGCAUGGCCAAUAAAGCAAUCUACUCUUGAUUUCUGAAAUGCGUGUGUGUGUGGGUGGGUGUGUGUGUGUUAUAUGCAGAAAUAGACACCAUAAAUAUAUUGUCAAUGGUGGUCCUAAAUCCUCCAUGGUAGCCUUGAAAGUCAGCUGUUUGAGGGCAUAUUGGCAGAGUUUGGGGCAUUGAAAGCCAAAGCCAUAGCUAAAGCCAAAGCCGAAAUUCAAUAUUGUAUUAAAUGCAGUGCAGUGUGAAGAAAAUGAAGCUUCUUGCCUAAUAGAGCUCUCCUCUCCUCCCUCAUGGAAACCAAAGAGAGAGAAGGUCUCGUCCUCAUCAAAGUGGACAAAGACCUCAGCAAGGGCAGGUGACACAGAAAGAGAGUUUUUGUGUAUUUUAAGCUUCAAUGCAUAGUUAUCUGAACUCGAGGUCUCUUAAAAACAGAGAGAUUUAUUUUCGAUGUUUUUUCCCUCUUGGUUUUUGUUUCUUUCUUCAUUUUUUGUAAGUCCACCCUUGACAGUUCACGUGCCAUUCUCACCAUCCCAAAACAAAAACAAAACCAAAACCAAAGGUGAAUAUGUUUUUUUUUUUUAAAAAAAAAAAUUCUUGUGCAAGCGACAUUGGAGAACGGAGAACCGAACUUAGAACCGAAAAUGGAGAACUGAUCUUAGAAUCUCGGAUGCAAGACUAACUGCUCUUAAACACUUAAACUAAAAGUUUCUUGUAAAGGUGAAUAUGUUAAGAUAGAAAAUGCGAUAAAACUGCUUUCCCAAAAACUACUAAAAACCCAAGUGAAAACAAGGAAAGCAAUUCUGUCUCUCUGCUCUGCAGGUUCAGAGAGAAAGAAAGAAAGAGUUGGAAAUUCAAGUGGCAUGGGCUGGCUUGGGUGGACGAGCCAUGGCCACGCAUGCAGUGAAAAAAGCUGAUCUGGGUACACUACUCUGCCUCUUUCCAGCUCAUUUUUACCAUUCCCAUUACAAAUCACCAAACAGAAAAAAAUAAAACCCACCCACCUCUUAAAUACAAUUUAAAAUAAAGAUUAAAAACUAAAGCUCUAACUAAACUGUUUCUCCUGAUUAUGGCAUGGAGAAUUAACCAUUAAUCACCAUGAAGGAGAAGUACAAGGAGAACCUGAUGAAGAAGAAGAGAGGCCAUUGUUAGUAUUGGAAUCACUACCUGAAGUGCCUAAUGACCUGGCAUCUCUGAGAGGAACAGAGCAAGCCUCUGCAGGGAGCUUCUUCAUUGGAGUUAGAGGAGGUGUGGUUGUUGGGCUUGAGGGACCAGAAGGGGUUGGUUGGGCAACCUCAUCCUCUCCAGAGCAAGAAGAAGAAGAACCCCCUCCCAUUUCUAGUCUUGAAGGUGAAGUCUCUGGAGUUUCAAAGGGAGUGUUGUUUUCUCCUCCACUGUGCCUGGUGCUUGCUUCAUCAUUGUCAUAAAUGGGGUUAGAAAUGUACACAAAAUGCUCUGCACCACCACCACCACCAGCAGCUUUCGCAUUACACUGAGCACCAGGACUGCUAUUACCAGCUUGAAUUUUGUCUUCUUGGGUUGGCUGCGGUGAAGUCACAAAAGAAAUUGAUGGGGAUGGGCUUGAUAUCAUGACCCCAAUAUGACAGGGGGUUGUGUUUGGUAAUAUUUCUUGGUUUGGGACCGGGAUGUCAAAAACCUGGUGAAGAAGGUGAGUAUGGUGCUUCUUUGUUUCUGCGUUGUCUUGUUUGCAAGGAACUGAUGGGAAAAGGAAGCUUCUUGGAGCACGAAGAACCCCUAGAAAGCUGCUGAGAGGAGGGCCAGCUGAGUGAUCUUGAGGCUGUGAUGAGGGCUGCUGAGAAGAGGUUGUGGUGGCUGCAGAGUCGGCAGCAUCAGCGGUGAGGUUUGGGUUGGAGGUGUUGGUUUUGAGCUGACGCCGGCGAAGUAGGAGGGAACAGUAGAGCUCAGCUAGCAGCACCAAGAUUAAGCCCAACACUAUGGCAAGGCUCACCACCAUUACCAGUGUGGCCCCCAUUAUCACCUUGGAUGUGCCCUUCAUCUCUCUCUGUUCUCUCUGUUUCUGUUAGACUGGAGUGUGAGGCAGUAAAAGGGUCCUGUGUUAUAUUGGAGGGUGUGAAGCUUUUUUUGGCGGGAAACAGUACGUUACCUUUGACAAGGAAAGGGCAUGGGAUGCGAAUCUAGAAAGGGCAAAAGGCAUGGGGAAUGUCAAGGCUUUUCCUUCUGACAGUCAAGGUCAUAACCGUAAUUUGGGUGGUGGUACUAAGUUUAACACCAUUAUUACAAUAUAUGAACCUAUUUGACAGUUACCUUCGAAUCCCAUGACAAUCGGCAAACACUUAGUAUAAUUACAAAUUUACCUCUUUGUCCUGUAGUGCAAACGAAAUUACCCAUUCUGUAAUCACUAAAAGAAAGAAAAAUUCAUUUAUGACAAUGGAGCUGUUAUACAUCAUACAACAACAAAGCAUUCUCAAUCUCAAUUUUCAAGUCCCUGUCAGAUUCUAGUAUCUCUAUCAAUUGAAGCAGCAGACACUGUUACAACUUUUACAAUGAUGAUUCAGCCGAUGAUUUACAAUGAUGAUUCAGCAGAUUCAGUAAAAGACCAAUCCUGGGGUGCGACAGUGCCACUCAACUAUAGCAAUCGAUAUUAGUCGUGUUAACUUUCUUCAAGACAACACAAUAGCCACUCAGUGAAACACAAGCAACAAGAUAACAAUGGUUACCAUCUAGCGGAUUUUGAAUUCUGAUUGCUUUACCCGCUACCUUCCUCUUAGUGCUGCAAAUUGGGCAGCCAAAUCCUCAUAGUCUGGCAACUUGGGAUGCACAUGCCGAGCUGGGUUGGACCUAUCUGGUUGAAAGGAAACCGCCCGAGCAUAUACUUUGGCUGCCUCUGAUGGACCACUAUGUUUAUUAGGAAGGGAAACCGAUCUUGCUGGGGUUGCCAUUUCUGACUCAUCUCUGCUUUCGUGCCUUGGGGAUUCACCAACACCAGUGCCUCCAUGAUGUGGAUGACGACUUUUUGACUUUCUUCUUGACAUUUCUGGUUCAAAAUUGGAUGGCUUUUUACUGUAAUGAAUCAGCAGUUCAUCGAUUCUCCUCUCUUCUUCAUCUUUCUUACCGUGCUCAUCAUCAAACAACAGUUGCAGGCCUCGUCUUGUCUCAUCCCUUCUCCUGCUUCUGGAUUUUUUCAUUGCUACUUCUGCAUCUUCGUUGUUUCCGGCAUCAUUGUGAGAGGAACGUGAUCUUGAGUGUCUCCUCCUAGCUGAUCUUGGUUUUGGUAUGUGGUUGCUAGAUGCAUCAUCCCGAUGAGCGUGAUCCUUCUCAAGAUCAUGAUUAUUAACCUUUGCAGCAGCACGCCUCUCACCCUCAUCAUCAGAUCCUGGUUGUGCUCCUCCCAGUAUAUUAUCAACAAAGGCUAUGUUAUACGCUACAGGAUCCUUAGUGAUGCCAUCAUUGCCAGAACUACGAUGUGAAGAACCUAAAGUGGUUUCGUGUUUUCUACCUUUCGCUUUGACAUUAGGUUUCAUAUAUGGAGGAGGGAUGCCAUAAUUCUUCACUUUAGGUUUUUCUUCUUCUUUACUUGCUAAUCUUGCAUCAUUGUGUUGGCCGCCAUAAUUGUCAUCAGCAAAUGAGCCUUUACCAUUGCUUUUCACAUGCGAUCCAGCAACAUUUGGCUUUACAUGAGGUAAAGCUUCAUGGCAGUCUCUUUUAGGAACAUUGUUCUCCCUACCAUGAUGCCUUUCCUGUCCUUUUGCCUGAGAUGAACUGCCCAAUCCAACUGACUUUGGGGGAGCAUCCUCCUUUCCAUUCCAUGCUUCAUAUUUGUGAGAAACAACUUCUUGCCUUUCCUGGAACAAAAUUCCAUGCCCAUUUUUUUCCACAACCGUAUCUUCCCUGCCAUUGAGAGACUUGUAUUCUUUUCCAACGAGUCUAUGCCUAGUCUGAUGAUUGUGCUCAUCCGUCUUCAACACAGUACCGUCCUUGUCACUGUGUAAUUUGUGGGCAUCAAGCCUCCUUUCUGUAGGCAAAAAAUUAUGCUUAUCUCCUUUUGGGACUGCAGAUGCCCCAUUAGACAAUUUGCCUUUAUUAUCAGGAACAUGGGAAGAUCCGUAAGUUUUUGGCUUUUCCUGCAAGGUCCCAAUUUUCAAGUGACUUCAAAUUUUGAGAAAGCAAUGCUUUUGACUAAGGAUUUUUUAUUCUAUCUAUUACAGGUGUUAACACAGUAGGUGGACAUACCUGUAUAAAUGCAGGAGGUUUAGACAUCCUCUGUUCAAAGGCCUUGGAGUCCCACUUUAUUGAGAAUUCCAAUGCUAUGUCUUUCAUUAACUGAACCUUCUUCUCCAAUGUAGGAGGCUUUGAAACUAAGUUCUCAACAAACUAUGAAUAAAAAUUCAGUUGGUUAGUUUUAAAGCAGUUACGGAUUCACACAGUUCUAUUAUGAGCAGGUCAAUAAACAGUUACCUUUUGAUUCACAAAAUACUCCAGAGAAUUCUCGUAUCUCUCUUGAAAUAGUUGCCUAAGGUCGCGCAAUUCUGGUAAAUCAGAAAACCUUGCUGCAGCAGACAUCAGUGAUGAUACAGGUUCCCGACAUUCCUCAGGGCAUUCGCUACAAUGAAAAUAAUGCAGCAAGGAAACAUUGUAUUGAGUUUGAUUUUAUUGUUCUUAAACUAAUGCAAUUUAAGGAAGGUUCAAGAAAGGUAAUAUCAUUCCUUUUAGCAGGAAUCCAAACCAUUUGUUUGGAUAACUUUGUAAUGUAUAAUAUUAGAGGAACUACGUUAGAUUAACAGACAUAAUGGAGAAAGGACAUUGAAUCAGCUAACAACUUCAAUCAUUCGUGAUGUGGUCAAAGGCAGAACCCUAUACAAGUUGAAUUCGGUGAGAGUUUGCAAUCAAAUUACAGUAGUCCACACAUGGAUAGUGUUGUAACAGAUUUUUACUCAAAUCAAAAUCUUCCCAACAGAUAUUCCCAGCUAGAAGGAUGCCAACCAAAUCUACACCCAUUUUUGCGGCUUCUAACACCAUCAGCCAUAAAUUGUACACAUGUGCAUAUCAUAUAAUAUGAUAAUUCACAAAGUUGAACAUAACAUGUAUAGAAAAAGGUUAUAUUGUAUAAGACUUCCAAAUCCAAAGAUGAAAGCAAGAGAAGAUAAACAAUGCUGCAUCAGUAGGAUUUGGCAAAUUAAGUAAACUGGUAAGACUGAUAUCAAAAAGAGCAUCAUACAGUUGCAUAUGCUAAAUAGACUAGAAAAUCAAACGCUUGAUAUUGGCAGCAAACAAUCUCUAGAUGAGCACAAGAAGAAAAGAACAAGGUAUACCUUUGUUUCUGCAUGACUGAAAGAUGAUUCAGCACCAAAUCACAGCAUCGCUCCACGAAAUCAUAACACGACGAAAGUAUCACCUCUGCUGUGAGUCCAUCAGCCUGUAUUUAACAAAUAUAACACUCUUCAUUUAGGUGGACAAGAUAGACAAAAACAAAACUAGUCCAUCAGCCUGUAUAUCCAAUUAAUAAAUAAACCUUGUGCAUUUGAUUUAAUCAAAAGAUUAUAAUCAACUCAAAUAGCAAAUGUCGCAAAAAAAGAAGAAGAGGAAUAUUGUUUUUUCUCGGCGACCAAACAGAUUAUAGAAAAUACGGAAUUGCAACUAAAAUCACUCAACAAGAAAGCAUCAAUGAAUCAAAAGCCAAAAUACAAAUUGUAAAGACAGAGCAAUCAAUCUCACCCUUCCAAAAGCAUUAAUAUCAAGGCCAUUGGCGAGUAGAUCAGCGAUAUCUUUCCUCAAAAACUUCUGCGUGGCGUUCCUCUUCCUCCGUAUCACAUCGAUCCGAGUUUUCGUCAAUUUAAUCAACGAUUUACUACCAAAACAAAAGACAUGCAGAAAAUAUGAAACAUAUCAUAAGCACACUAAUAUUUCAAUUUAUGUAGAUACAUAGAGAUGCAGAUGAAAUUGUAUAAAGAGAGGGAUCUGAGGGAAAACCAUUUAGCGGCAAAUCCACGGCCGAGCAGCCCGUCCAACAUUUUUCAAUCUCUUUCUUCAACUCGGUGAACACUGAGCACUCAGACUGAGAGAGCGGGCAUUAGCGAAGCUGGAGCUUGAAUAAUAAGAACAAGGAGGAGGAGGAGGAAGAUGAAGAAGAAGAACGUCUCUUUCUCUCUUUGUGAAGCCGCUUCCUUCAGUGGGUCUCGGACAUUUUUCAAACUCAGUUUGGCCACUAAACUGAUGGGACAGAGAAAACUUUUCUGACCAUAAGGUCCCUGCUCUUUCACCUUUACGUAACGACGUUGACGCGGGUAACAACCGGUCAUUUUAACGUUAGGGAGGGUAUUUUGGGGAGAAUGCGAUGUUUUGGUGAGUGCGGCGGAUGAGUCGGUCGCUAAGAGUCUGGUGGGGAGAUCGUGGGCGUUGGAUUUGAAUACUUUUGAGGUCUCGUUGUGGAGAGGUGGGGGGUGAGAAGUCAUCAAGUCAAGGUGGGUAAAGACGAGUGUCACAAGAGUUGAUAAAAUCUGCUGAGCUGGACCCAGAGAGGGUGGUGACCUUCAAGUGCUUAGGUUUCGGUCAUGUUAUUAUUUUUAAUAAUUAUUAGUGUAUUUGUUUAUUUAUUUUAUUUUAUAUUGCUUUCAUGGGACAACAAUGAAAUUAUUAUUUUUGGUCUGACAGAAACAAAAAUUGAUAGGGGCCCAGAGCCGUUGAUAACGGCCAUACCAACCGUAUUGAUCAGAAUUUUAUCUGAAAAUAGAAAAGAAAAUUGUUCAUUAUUAGUAGUGAGUGAUCUUUUUUUAUCCUAAAUUCCUACAAUUUCCAGACGUCUCUCCUCCAUUUUCCUCCCUUGAAGAAUCAUUUUCAUUAUUGUGCUGCUGUUAUAGGUUGCAUCAUCUAAUAAUGAAGAAUGGAUCUUAUUCUUUAGGGUGUACCUCCUGAUUUAUUCCGUUAACAAAUUUUCAUUAUACACGUAUCAUAAUAAUAAUUGUGUCUUAAACUAUCAUUUAAAGAUUAUAUCUGAAAAAAAUAAAAAGUGCUUGAAUGUGGUAUCUGUUUGAUGUAUCCAAUAUUGAAAUGGUUGUUGCAAACAAAUCCAUCUGCAAAGUCAAAAAGAAAAAGAGCAGUGUCAUACAUUCCAAUUUCCAUUUCCACAUCUGCUGCCUGUAGCAUAAACCUUUUGAAUUCAGAUAAGCAUGCAAUUUGCAAUUGGAUCAAGAAAAUAAAAUGUUCUUUUACACUUUUUUUGUUGGUGUUGUCAGUUUUGGGUAUAAAUUAAGAGCAACCCACAUGUUACUUCCAUUAACAAAUGGAAAAAAUAAAAAAGGGUCAAAACUAUCUAAGUCUACCAACCAACCCCUUCAUCUAACUUUCCUGCAGCAGCAACCCAAAUUAGCAAACCACUAAUUAAAGAGCAGACCAUUUCCAAUUUAAUUGAGGAUUAGCAUCACCCAUUUUAAGAUUUUUCCUUUCUGAUGAAUAAUUCUUUCUUAAAUGAUGAGGUCAAAUUACAAAAAUGCCAUUUCAUAACUUGGGCCUUAGGCCCAAAAGCUUACAACAGAUGAACCUGGGUUGGCCCACUUUAGCCCAGUCAUCAUUUUUACACCUGGCUGAAUUGGAAUUUGGCAAGCCCAUUAGAAGAUAGAUUUGUGACUUGUCUAACCAAAAGCUUGCCUCUUGCAUUCAGUUGAUUUACCCUCUUUGAAAGGGCAGGUUGACCUUUGACCCACCCAACCUUUCUGGUGCCCUACUUCUUUCUUUCUUUUGGUCGAAAAAGCCCUAUUUCCAUUUUAACAGCAUUGGCAAUUCAACAUGGACUUCGGUUAUUUUGUUUAGUUUAUACUACUAGUGCCACAAAGCUACUACAAAAAUUUGGGAUUGUAUAAUGUUAAUUUUGUGUUAGUUAAUGUAGAUGUGGAUUAAGUAAGUUCAAAUCUCCUCCUUGUAAAUUAGAUUAAUUUAGACUAAUUUAGACUAUCGCUUUUAUAUAAAAAGAAAAAUUGUGUUACUAACUACUUCACAAGAUGUCGAAUGUGGCAAGUUAUCUCCAAAUCAAAUCCCAACAACACACACCCAAAAAAAACUGUGAAAUAUAUCUCAUUAUGAUCACAAAUCACAGAUUUUACAAUUUAAACUCUCACCAGUCAGCCACCAAGAAAUAAUGGUUUACAAAAAUGCAUAAGAAAUAAAGUCGACUCUGCUAUGGGAAAUACUGAGUCUAUUGUUGUCUAUAUGGUUGGUGGUUCCUACCUACCAAAAACAUCUCAAGAAGUUGAUGAGGAAAUGGAACAAAUAGUUUUCUCGAUCGAGCAAUUCAUGUCGAACUAAUCUUUCCAAGAUGAUAUUCUGAGGCAGAAGCUCACUGUAGUAAAGCAAGGUUGAGACUGAAGCAGCUGGCUCUCCAAUUAGAGAUGUUAGUAGCCUCAUCAGUGACCUAAACAUCACUGGUGUAAGAGACUGCAUCACAAAGCAAAAAAAAAACACAGAAAAGAAAGGGAAAAAGUUACAAAUAGAAAUCAAUUUGAGAGCCCAAAGGAGUUUGCUUGAUGAUCAAAUAUACAUACCAUGGCUUUGGUGAGCAAGGCAAGAAGAGCAAGAAGGACUUGAAGUUAUUAAAAUGAAAUUCUGAGAUGAAACACAGGUGAGCUAUUGAGAUUGGGGUUGGGGUGACUGGUGAUUUGGUGAGGAUCUCUAGCUGCCAAUCUCCAGCAACCAUUCAAACCUACCCGUCCAUAUUCUGAAACUUUUACAAGAAAAUAUUGGCCAAUAGGUGGCAUUCAACUAAGGUCGCGCGCUAUUGGCCAGGAACCCUACUUUCUCUCUGUGUUUUUUCAAUCAAACAAAACCCAACUUUUCUUUUUCUGUUCAUCUUUUUAUAAAAAGAUCAUCAGAGAAAUGAGAUUUCAACCAACUUCGAGCAGUUUUGUUUUCUUGAACUCAGUUCAUCAAUGUGACACAGAAACUUGUACAACUUUGAAAUCAAUGGGAAAUGUUAUUUUUCAUCCCCAUCUAAUGAUCUAAAAUCCGAAUGGAACCAACAACAUGAACUUUCCAAAAAAUUUCAGACUCUAAUCUGACGCCGAGAAUACGAGAAGGCUUCUGUGUCAUUGACAGUUUGGCGGCUUAGAAAAUACCUUUACGUUGCAGUCUAUAGGGGUAAUAUACAAGUAUGUCUGCACAAUAAUUGACAAUAUGACUGAUUACAAAGACGAGAUUAGAUAUUUUAUACAAAUGAUAUUGGGAGAACGAAAAUUCGACAUCUUGGAAAUAUAUUGUUGGACAUUCAAGUCUAAAACAUCUAUAAACGGGGAAAUUCCCUCCCGAAACACCUCUUGGCAACAUAUUUUUCCCACCACUCUUGGGGAAAUGAGAACGUACAGUUUUUUUUUUUGUUUUUUUUUGUUUUUUUGGACUUACUGGGAAACUGAAUGAGCAUUAUUCAACUUGGGGGGAACAUCUAGACUGGGAAAGACACGUCAAGAUCAUUGAAGGGAUUGCACAAGGACUUCUCUGUCUUCACAAGUAUUCUAGACUCUGAAUCAUACACAGCGAUCUGAAAGCUAGUAACAUUUUGCUUGAUGAAAAAAUGAAUCCGAAGAUAUCAGAUUUUGGAAUGGCCAGAAUUUUCGGACAGAACAAGUCCAUAGCAAAUACAAGAAGAGUUGUAGGAACAUAGGAAGUACAGAAAAAAUAUUUUCAUAGUGAUGUUUUCCAAACAGCAGUGUAACAUUUAUAAAUGCACUUGCUUUUUUUUUUCUUUUUCUUUUUUUCCAAGUAUGAAUGCUCUCUAGGAUUUACAAUUAUGCAGCGUUAUAUGUCUCCAGAGUAUGCCAUGAAAGACAUUUUCUCCAAGAAGUCCGAUGUUUACAGCUUCGGAGUUUUCCUGCUGGAGUUUUUGAGUGGUAAAAAGAACACCGUUUUCCUUUCAUCUACUGCUCUCAGCCUUAUUGAACUUGUAACUAACAAAGAUAGAUAGAUCAAAACAGGCAUUCAAUUUCAAUUUUCAACUGGAGCAGAAAGACUCAUACACUGCAUCAAAACUUAAAUGAUUUACAGGCCUGGGAAUUGUGGAAACAAGGUGACAGUGUAGAACUAAGGGACAACUCAAUGGCCUCGUGCCCAAAAGAAGAAGUUUGAAAAUUUAUUCAUGUUGGCCUCCUGUGUGGGCAAGAGCAUGCGGCAGAUAGACCUACCAUUUCAGAAGUCAUAUCCAUGCUUACGAGUGAUAUCAUGUUUUUGCCUGAUCCAAAACAACCUGCAUAUUAUUUUUCGAGAAAUGAAGUUUGGCCAUCACCACCAUAUGGAAGGCUUGAUAUGGGUUCAGUAAAUUGUGUAUCUAUGACUGUAGUGGAAGCUAGAUAGAUAAAAGAUACUAGUUUCAUUUUUCAUCAGAUAUUAGUAAGAAUUGGGGUUACUACAUUGAUUUUUGUCUGCCCUUUUAUACAAGCAAUGUUGAGAGAGGGAAAAUCGAACGUAGCACAUCAGGUGCAUGGAUGAUACUCUUUAUCAAUUGAGCUAUAAGUCCCUCGAAGGCAGCGCACAUCCUUUUCACGGUGGCGGUCCAUGAAGGAAAUUCAAAUUACAGUUAGAAGUAUGCCUACGAAAUUAAGAUAAGAUUAGCAGGGGCCCGGUUCAUGACUUUAAUGGCUAUCACAAGAACCUUCCACUAUGACUCGCAUAAUUUUUUACAGCCAUCCUUGCAUUUUAAAAAAAAUGAAGAACAAGUCAAUAAAAUACUGAGGUCAUCGCAAGAAUAACCAAUUUUGGACACAAGUCUCCCCCCAUACGUGUAACAACAGUGAAAGUAAUUACAUGUAUAAUGUAUUUGUUAAAUCAAGAAAAGUCGGGGGGUGAAAAGUCUUCCAUAGUGGCUUAUUUCAAGUUACAAACACUUCUGUGGGAGAACAGAGAUCAUUUACACAAAACACUUGGCCGAUGGCUAAACUGACAAGCUUUGUGCUUCUCUUUUUCUCAUGUUUCUUCAUGCGGUAUAUUUGUUCUUCUUAUGCAGAAACAGUGAUAUAUACCCUCAAGCAAGGCGAACAGCUCCGGGACCAGGACACCGAUCAUCUCGUCUCUCAACAUGGCCACUUCAAGUUAGGCUUCUUCAGUCCUGGUGCUUCAAGUAACCUCGGCAUUACCAGUAACCGUUUCUUGGGAAUAUGGUACAGCAAACUACCAGAUCAUCCAGAUGCAGUGUGGGUGGCCAACCCAGAAACUCCGGUUGUCGAUUCAUCUGGAGUAUUUACAUUGGAUAGUGAUGGAAAAUUGAAGAUCAUACAUGGUGGAGGGCAGAUUAUUAUAUCAGAUCCCAAUCAAACAGUUUCUGGUAAUGUGACUGCCUAUUUGAUGGAUACUGGAAAUUUUAUCCUAAGAAAAGUAACAUCAGAUGGAACACCUGGAAACAUUCUAUGGGAAAGUUUUGAUUAUCCAUCCAACACAUUGUUACCUGGAAUGAAGUUAGGCAUGAACCUUAAGACUGGACAUAAUCGAACACUUUCUUCAUGGUUCAGUUAUCAAUCCCCGGUUUCUGGUGCGUUCAGGCUUGGUGUGGACCCCAGUCGCACCAACCGAUUGAUCAUCUGGCGGCGAGAAGUUGUAUACUGGACCAGCGGGAUCUGGGAAAAUGGAAGUUUUCCAAAGGCCCCUGAACUGACAACAAGGACUGAUUUAUUUGAUUUCAAUUUUGUAUCAAAUGAAGAAGAAAAGUACUUCACUUACUCUGUUAAAAACAACUCUACUCUUUCAAGAUGGGAACUGAAUACUUGGGGCCAACUCUUGCAGUCUAUUUUAGCCCCAAAUGGUACUACUUGGGAAACCACCGUUACAAGUCCAUGCAAGUUCAACCCGUAUUACCCAGAUGCAGUGUGCAUAGAGCAGAAGCCCUCUGAAUGCAGGAAUGGAUCUGAGCUACUUGUGCCAACAAGAGGCUACUUAAAUGAUGCUCAAUUUACACAUCAGGAUAAUAAUACUAACUUAGAUCUUAGCGACUGUCACGCUACUUGCUGGAAUGAUUGCACCUGUAUCGGCUACCAAAAUAUACAUACCAAUGGAUCUGGAUGCCUGUUUUUCAAAAAGGGAGCACAUUUUGUCCAGAAUGAUUACUUUGGAGUCAAUUAUCUCAUUAUCAUAGCGAAUAACAGCAGAGGUAUGUACGGCCUAAACCAAUACUGAGUUUAUCUAAUGCAUCUCCUCAUUCUUCCAUCCUUUCUAUAUCUUUUGAGCUUUCUCAGAAGUUAGAAAUAUGCUCAAAAACUGAUAACUAAGAAAAUUAAGUAAUGGUGGGUUUUUGCUAUUUGAUACCAUGAUACAAAACACUGCAAUGCAACGAUUAUGUCUGGCAUUGUUUUGAAUAAGAACAAACAGUUAGAAUUAGCUACAGCUCUCAACCACUUCUUGAAACUAAUUUUGUGGUUGGGGUAGAUGGAACGACUACCGAAAAAGGAAGUACACAGAAGAAAUGGUGGAUAUGGUGUAUCGUAGGUAUUAUACUUGCUGUGGCAGUGCUACUUUUAGGCUAUUUCUGCUACACAAGGAAAAGAAAACUUGCAGUCGUGCAACAAACUGGUAAGCUGAAACGAUAAAAGUUUUUGUUUCUGUUAAUUUAUAAAUUGCAAGUGCAAGUACAUUAUAUGCUAUUGCAAUUAUCGGAAUGCAGACAAGGUGGAAACAAGCCAAGAGCAAGGACUACUUGAGUUGGGAUCUCAAAUUCGAGGAUUGCGUGACAUAUUCAAGCUCAAAACAGGCAGAGGGAGAGGGCAGGAGUUUAAGAUGCUCAGCUUUUCUGAAAUACUGGCUGCAACAGAUGACUUCUCAUUUGCCAAAAAGCUAGGAGAGGGUGGUUUUGGACCGGUCUACAAGGUAAAAUUUAAGUAUAUCUGGAAAUUUAAAAAAUAAAAAAUAAAACAAUGGUUAUCUGGGAAAUUGAUACCUGACACUGAAAAAUGAUGUAGGGUGUAUUACCAGAUGGGCAACAGGUGGCAGUAAAGAGACUUGCAAGACAUUCAGGGCAAGGAAUAGAAGAAUUCAUGAAUGAGAUUACACUUAUAGCUGAACUUCAACAUAGUAAUCUUGUUCGGCUUUUGGGUUGUUGCAUUCAAGGAGAAGAGAAGAUUCUGAUAUACGAAUACCUGACAAAUACAAGCUUAGAUGCCUUCCUCUUUGGUUUGUCCAUAAUUCCCUUUCAAAUCCAUACACUCCCCUCUUCCCCCCUGAUCUUUAACCCUACUAAUCUGCUUAAUCUGGCAUCUUAUAUUUGAUUAUUAUGUUGACCACUACGCACCACUUUAACUGCAGAUUCCACUAGAGUGAAUCUUUUAGAUUGGCAGAGACGCAUCAACAUCAUCGAAGGGAUUGCACAAGGACUUCUUUAUCUUCAUAAGUAUUCUAGAGUUAGAGUCAUACACAGAGAUCUGAAGACUAGCAACAUUUUACUUGAUGAAAACAUGAACCCUAAGAUAUCAGAUUUUGGAAUGGCCAGAAUUUUCGGACAGAAUGAGUCCAGAGCAAAUACGAAUAGAGUUGUAGGAACAUAGUAAGUACCAAAAAAAGAAAUCAUAGUAAUGUCUUCCAAACGACACUGACAUUUAUCUUUACUUUUGCAAAAUAUGAAUGUUCCCUAACUUGUAACAAUUUUAUGCAGUGGCUAUAUGUCUCCAGAAUAUGCCAUGAAUGGCAUUUUCUCUGAGAAGUCCGAUGUAUACAGCUUUGGAGUUGUACUGCUGGAGAUUGUGAGCGGCCAGAAGAACACUGUUUUUGUUUCAUCCACUGCUCUCAGCCUUAUCGAACUAGUAAGUUAUAAAGAAGAGAAAAAUGGAAUUUAAUCAGAAAGAUAUCCUAAUCCUAAUGUGAUUUAACACUCAUGUGGUUCAUUAAAACUCUAAUGAUUGCAGGCCUGGGGCUUAUGGAAACAAGGUGACAGUCUAGAGCUAAGGGACCCAUCAAUGGACUCAUGCCCAAAAGAUGAAGUUUCAAAAUUUAUUCAUGUUGGUCUCCUAUGUGUGCAAGAGUAUGCAGUAGAUAGACCUACCAUGUCAGAAGUAAUAUCCAUGCUUACAAGCGAUAUCAUGUUUUUACCUGAUCCAAAACAACCUGCAUACUGUAUUUCAAGAAGUGAAGUUGGGUCAUCACAACCUCAUGGAAGGUCGGAUAUGGGUUCAUCAAAUUGUGUAUCUAUGACUGUGAUGGAAGCUAGAUAAAGAUACUACUUUCACGUUCCAUCAGAUGGUAUUCAUUAUUCAAUAGGGAUCCCACAAAUGCUAUGUGCAUGGGGAGAAUCUUGUUGAAUCUAGGAAGAGUUUGGAUACAUUUUUUUCCACAAGAAACUAUUUAUUCAUUUCUUUAUUUUAGACUAUAUAAAUGGAUGUAAAUACGCAAAAAUAUAAAUUUCUGAUUGUAACACCAAGAAGUCGGUCUUGUGGAACUAGUAUUUGUGUCAAUGGACAUCGAUGUGAGUUUUCGAGUAAAGGGUACACAUUUCAUCCAAAAACAAUUAACAUUCAAUUUCAAUACCAAAUAACUCAUUAAACAUAGCAUAAUCCGUUGAACUCAUACAGUGGGCCGGAGAGCACUUAGACCUACAGAAACACUACAAGUAGAAGACCAUCAAUUGAGUGGACCUUUAAAGUGAAGGUAAAACAAAAAGGAAGCAAUCCAGAUUUAACCAGAGUGCAGAGACAGAUUAAAUAUUGUUCUUAUCUGGGUCAAUCUUCUCAGGAGAUUCCUCCUCUUGCUCUUGCUCCUCUUCUUCUUCCUCCUUCUUCUCCUCCUCGUCUUCGUCUUCUUCGGGAGGGUCAUAUGGCAUUGGAGGUGGCAAAGGUGUUUUCAUAGGACUGAACUGGGGGAAGAUGUCAGGUCUACGCCCUGGCUUAGGCCUCUCCCACUCCUACAACGCAAUUACGCAAACCAAAUACAAAUUAGCACCAAAAAUUUCAAGCCAAUCCAAAUUCCAGAGACCACAGAAGUUGGAUUUUUGUUUAUUGGGUUUUGUACAGAAAGUGAGCAGGCAGAGGAAGGAGGAGCAUACUUACAAUUGGGAAAUCGAGAGGGUUGCGGCGAGUGAGUUUCUCCUCAUCUGGGGCCAUACACACCACCUGGGUCCUCCGAAGCCGUCGAGAAUCGAACCAUGAAGCAGAGGAUGAAGAUGACGAGCUUGCUGAGGCUAAAGGAAAUUGCUUUCUCCAACUCGACCAACCACUCCAAGAAGGAGGUACACUACCCAGCGUUGAGAGGCAGCUCGACGCCAUAUCACUCGUCUUCUUUCUUCAGCUGCUUCUUUGAGUUCUAGUUUGGGCUUCUCGUCUUUCAAGGUCUUGAGCUGCCGCUAAGCCUAUAACGACUGACACUGUAUAUCGAGCAGGCCAGGCCAAGGCCAACCGCCUUACCCACAAGGUCGACGCCUCUGCCUCUCCCUUUACCUGUCUUCUAUUUCUUUCUGUAAGCCCUCUCUACCCACAGUUCUUCCUUAAUUUCCUCACCCUUUUUUUUAGUCAUUUACUUAUUUAUCGAUUAUUUGUGGUUAUUUUUCAGACCGGCUAGAACAAUUUAAGCCCAAACCCAACCCAUUUAAUUGACCUCUGUUCCAUGGCACAAAAAGAGGCCCAAAAUAUUACUUUAGCAAUUGGCCCAUUAUGAAACCAACAAGAUCUUUCAUUUUGGUGGUACAAUAUUUUUAUCAAACAUACACACAUAGACAGAAUAAAGAGCACAAAGUUGGCAAGGGAACCACAAUCAAAGAGCUUAAUCUGAAUUGGAGUGUAAUGACUUUCAGCUUCUUAUUCUCCACUUUCCCAUGCGCUUUCUUGCUAGCAGUGAUUUAGACCUCGGAGUUAUUCGCCUUUCCUCAUCACUACUUUCACUAUCCAACACAAUUACUGCCUCAGACUCGGAUAUUGCUGGUCCUUCUGAUUCCUUUUGCUUAAUCACUUUGGUAAUUUCGCAAUUGUAACCCUGUUUAGAUUGCUGCUUCUCAUCCCACCUCAAGUUUUGUUCUUGCUUCGGAACGGACUUGGAUGGAUACGAAGAGACACUCUUCUGGGACUGUGGAAGCAUGUUUCUACUAUUCUUCUCUUCCGAUUGAUCCAUCCCACAUUUUAUAUAACUCGCAUUUAUACCCCCAUUCUUUGAUACUGCAUCAGAAUUCUCAGUCACCUGUGGGGCCACAUUCUCCUUGUCAACCUUUCCAUGUGACUCUGAUGAGCCUCUAAACCCCAGCGAAAGCUUCUUGCCAGCUAAACAAAGCUUCUUGCAACUUGUACCAAUGGAGCCAUUUCCAAUUCCAUCAACCAAAUCUUUAUGUGGUUGCAAUUUGGUGACACUGCCAAGGGCUGGCGCCAUUAGCAAGGGCUCAGACAAAGCAUUGCAAUGGGACUGAGAAGGAGACAGUUGAGGGAUAACGAUGUUUUCGUCAAUCAUUUUGGAUGUGUUCAAAGAACCCAAUGACAGAUUGUUGCCAAACUUAGGCACCCUCUUUGAUCUCAUGCCUAUGUUGUCAUCAGCCAAUUUACUUUCUUGACUCUGAUGAAACCCUUGGUUGUGACUGUUUCCAGAUUGUGGCACCAAUGAUCCUGAAGAGGGCACAGGAAGGCUUUCUGGUUUGAGUGAUGAACAAUGAUUAUUUGGCACCACAUUCUCCAUAUCAUUAUCACUUUUCUUCUGGAAUUGGCCGAGGGAUUCUAAUGAUAACUUCCUUCUGCUCCCACAUAGCUUCUUCUCCUGACUUUGAUUGCAUUUAUCAAGGGUAUCUUUCACCGCCUUUUCUGUUCCUUCUUCUUCUAUCUGGUUUCCAAAAUCAGAGAGAAAGGGCUGGUCCUUAGGGACUUGAUUCCCUUCCUCAUUAGCAUCCCUUUUCUUGGUUCGGCCUGAAGCCUCCAAUGACAACUUCCUGCUACCCCCAAUUACCUUCUUAUCACUUACAACAAACUCAUCUGCUUCAUGUUUUGGCUCAAGCUUUGUUGUUUCAACCUCCAGCUGCACCUGGGGAGAUACAAGAAACAGGGAAAGAAAAAAAAAUUAACAAUUUUGAAUACCUUGUAUCCGAGAAAAGUAAAGCUUCACAACCAAAUAAAUCUAAGAUAAAGUGACAGUACUGUGAUUGGAUUUGCAUUGCUGUGAAAUUGAGUGUCACAAACAUUCCCAGUAGCAUAUUUCUGAGUCAUAGAUCGAGCUUUCUGGUCAAAAGCUUGUCUGUUGUAUUUAAACUCCCUACUCUGCGCAUCCAAACAUAGAAAAAUUGAACUUCUUAAGCAGUAAUUGGCAUCCCCAAAUCCCAACCAUCUAUUGAAUAUGAGCAUAUAAUAUAUAUAUAUACAUAUAUAUAUAUAUAUAUAUAUAUACAAUUCAUCACAUGAACACUCACCGCUUCACACAUCAGGCCAUCAUCAGGAUUGGGCUCACUCAAUAACAAUCCAAUGCUUGUAAGCACAGUUGAAAUGUUCAAUGACGGUUGCCACGCCCCCUGCACAGAUAUAAAUUAACCUAACCCUCACUAUAAAUUGAUCGAUGAACAAAACAGAAAACUUUCACGUCACAACCUGAAACCAGACUAUCCUCAGUGACAGUAUACAUUAACACUUUUUCUUUUUUACAAUAGCGAUAUUCUAAACUAGUCUUAUAUACGAGGAGGAGGUGUUCGAACCUCAAGUGCAAAGGGGCCGUUUAUAAUGCCCUUGGCUACCUCGCUUAACCCGCAUUUGCCAUUAGCACUUUUUUCGGGGACAUCGAAAAAUUCACUCACCUUCGGAGGAAGAUUGAGAAUGUCGAGGCAAAUUCGGCCUCCGUUGUCGAUAUUCGGGUGGUAAAUCGGCGUAGCAAAGGUCACGCUUGGAGGCUGAAACGGGUACCUGAAAAUUUUAAAAUUUUAAAAAUCUGUAACCCCAAAAAAGAAAAUCAGAAAAUUCUCAACUAAGCAUCACAAUUUCAACCAACCUCUCGGGUAUUUGAAUCUUAAUGUUGAAUAGACCUUCGGCGUACACAGUUCCUUCUGGGCCUUUAAUUUCUGAAACAAAAGCAAAAACUUUCGUUAAUGUCAACUUCUUAUUUUUUUCUCGAUAACCAAACGCGGUGUUAAAUAAAUCUGAAAAGGGACGCGAAUUGGGAAGCUUACGGGCGUCGAUGGUUGUUAGGGAUGAAGAGGAAGAGAGGAGAGGGAAAGAAGCACCCGGAGGAGGGUCGGUGAGGAGGAGCUUGAGCUCCUUCUGCAAUCGGAGGUUGAGCCUCGCAGCUUGAGCCAUAUCGCGUCUCUGCUUUUGCUUGCUUGCCUCUCCAGUCUAGCUUCUCUGCGAAUUUGGAACAGUAAUGGAGGGCUUGUGAAAAAAGCGUGGCGCUGUGGGACUGGGAAUUGGAAAUUUGGGAAGAAGAGAUUGAUCUUGGCCGUUCAUAUUUCAUUUCUUUUAGAUGUAUAUUGGGACGGUUACGAUCUAAUCACGUAGUGUGUGAGCCGAUGAAAAAAGAGAAAAAUGAAUGUUGAGAGUGGGAUUUGAACCCACGCCCUUUCGGACCAGAACCUUAAUCUGGCGCCUUAGACCAACUCGGCCAUCUCAACUUGAUGCUGAAGUUUGCACACAAAUCCUUUAUAUUAAAUAACUCAUUCUUUUGUCUUACAAAUCAAAAACAGCCACCUAGCAAAGACUACAAAUCCACACAACUUAGAGAUGUCAAAAUUAAUUGUCAAGCAAACAAUAUAGAUAAUAUAUAUGUGCAAUAACAAAAAGAAAAUAGAUCGUAUAUGUUCUUUAAAUUUUGUGCAACUCGAUGAUUUGACUCGAACCAAUUUUAAUCCAAUCGAAGUUUAAAUUUAUAGGACAACUUGUGAAAUCGAUCUAAUUAGUGAAAUUCGCGUUAGAUGUUAUGAGACAAUAAAUAUUAGGUUCAUGUAUGAUGUAUAUUCGAAAAUUGAUACUUCAUCUCAAUUCACAAUCCAAUCACCUAAUUGAUGACAACCUACACUUAUAACUUUGUUAAAGCUUGAGUUGAGUUUAUUCAAACAUGUUCAAGCUUGGCCUCACAGUCACAACCUACAAUGUUUGCACUUUUAAUUUAAAGAUUACGCGUAAGAUGUUUUAAAAUAAGAUGAUGAUGAAUGAAGUACGUAAAUUAAUACAAUUCCCUUAUAUUGAGGGAUCUUUAAUAUAAUUUUUCUGAGGGACACUCUUUAAGGCCUACUAUGAAUUUUAUUUCAACAAUUCAAUCUGUCUAUUUUUCAAGUCUUCAUUCAUUGAUCAUCAUUGUAAAAAAAUCAAGCAACUCAAAAAUUGUUAAGACAUUUAGUCGUGCCUAACAAAUUUGAUGAAUAAGAUGCUCUAAGAAAAUACUAAAAUAACAAUCCUUUAAUUGAGUAGUCAAACAGAUUCAUAUUCAAGUAAUUUUGUGCGCAGAUGAUUUUGAAUGAAUACUUAGAAAAUAGAUGAUUUUGAUCAUUGAAAUACAAUGUAUGGUAGAUCCUACAAGAGUAUCCCUCAAAUAAAAGCCUUUAUGCACUAGAUAAUGAUUAUUUAACAUCGAGGGACAGACCUAAAAAUGGCAAUUGACUAUUAAUUUUUUAUUUCCUUAUAUGAAAGUUUAAACAUUACAUCUAUAGCCUAAUCAUGCUUUUUUGUUUUGACUAAGCUAAGAUACAUAACUCUCUAUUUGCAUUUUGAAAUCAUAAAUUGUGCUCAACAUGUGAUUUUGUGGACCCUAUAUAUGAUCAUUAAGUGUUGAAGAAGCCAAAGGGAGUACAAAUACAACUAUUCAUAAGCACAUUUAAUUUGAAUCCUUGAACCAAAUGAAGAUUCCAAGUGGAAUUUUAAAAUAAAUUUUAAACUUUUACCGACAAAAUACCAAUUCAAAUUCAACUUUUCCCUCCUACUAAUACCAUUCAUCAUAUUUUUCCCAUAUAUUAUAAAUGUGGACCUCCCAAAACGAUCCAUUAUAAGUGACCCGUGACUUAUGGGCUUUGCUUCAAAAAUGGGCUACACCAUCCGACGUCCAAUUUUCCAGACGGAGCCCAAUCCAUAAUCUAACGGUGAAUCAUCGACGGUGCAUCGAUAAUCGUAGACUCGCGAUGUAGCGAAUCGGACAAUACACUCAACGACGUGCAGACCACCUUACCCGCUCGAGGCAAUUGACGGUUUGAAUAAGCGACACGUGUCCCCGCCAUUCAUCCUCUUGGUUCGUUCGUCGUCCCUAUAGCGCACCUCGAAUCGGCUGCCCCACCCCACCCUCUCUUUUUCAAAGUUUCAAAAUCUCUCUCUGUCUCUCGCACGCUCUGUUUUUUUGUUUAACGCGAAAACUGGAAAAGAAAAAGUUCGAGAAAAAGAAAAAAACAUCUUCCAACCACCAUCACUACUGCAACAGCAGCUUCUCUCAGAAGCUUUCUCUCACUGGUACAUAAAGUGUAUUGGAGCUUUGUACGGCCAGCGGAGCCGAUAGAGAGAGGGAGAGUUGGAGACGAAGAUGAAUGUGGUGGGGAGACAGAUGGCGCGAUCUAAUUCGGCGAUGCACCACCAGCGUCAGUACUCGGACAACUUCAUGGACGCCUCCUCCAAGUGGCUCCAGUCCUCCAGUCUCUCACAGGUCCUCAUCUUAUAUUAAAUUUUGCAAAUUUGCCCCUCGUUGAGCUCACAAUUACUUAACCAUUCCUUCCUUCGUAUGAAAAGCUCACAUUCUCAGAGAUUUUGGUUGCAGGACUUUGAGUUGUACGGCUCGAAAACGACCAGGAAUAAUCAGAGAAGUGUUCGUGAGCGAUCACCGGACGCUUCGAUUGCAUCGCGAUCGUCGACCACGAGAAGGAACGGUGAUGAUCGAGUUUCGCCCAGUGAGCUCAGCCCCGGCUUGCUUGAUCUGCAUUCCUUUGACACCGAGUUAUUGCCUGUGGUUUGUCCCCUUACUUUUAAAAGUUGUACCUUUUUUUUUCCUCUUGAUCAGAAAUUUCGCUAAAUUCUAUGUUAUCUCUUUUACAUUGAUUAGAGACUGAAAUGUGGGUUUAAGUUUACUUUUUCAUAAAUGCCCUGCUUUUUUUCAUUUUUUUAAAAGCUUAAACCUCACAUUUCUCUGCCUUGAUCCAAUGUAAUACUUUUUUUCUAAUUUUAAAAAAAAUUGUUGAUUGAUGUUUGGCAUCGGUAGAUGCCCGUUUCAGGCCAAUCUAACGGGCACCCGCUUCAUCAUCCUGGUCGUGGUAAAAGUCUUGACGAUUCUGAGCCAUUUCUCUCCACCAACAAGCUUACAAGCAGAUCACGGGGUUUGCCUGAGAAUAAUCUGCUCAAGAGUUUUUCAUCGGAUAAAGAAAGGGCCAACAGUGUUGCUAAGAUCAAAGUUGUGGUAUGUCAUUUAAAAGUUGUUUCUCUUUCUCUGUAUCAUCUCAUGCAGUGCAGGGAAUGGCUGCUCUUGAUUUCCCGAAAUAUUGCAUUCUAGAAUCAACAAAUUGAGCAUGACAAUCUGUUCUGUUUUCUCUUUUUGCAGUGGAAAUGUUGAUGCUAAUUAUUAUUAUUAUUAUUUUUUUAAUGCAGGUACGCAAGAGACCACUAAAUAAAAGGGAAAUUUCAAAGAAAGAGGAAGACAUUAUUACAAUAGAACCAGGUUCUAAUGCUCUCACAGUUCAUGAAACAAAACUUAAGGUGAGCACCUGGUGAGCGAGUUUUUCAACAGCGAUCGAUUGUCAAGAGUUCAACUUCCAAUGUUCUAUGUUUUCAUGUUUGCAUGCAUUCAUAUGUCUUUGGGUGUGACUGAUCAAGUGAAUAUCUCCCUGAAAAAUCUCUUUAACAUUCAUGUGUUUGUGUUUGUGUGUGUGUGUGACCGAGCAAUUUCCAAUUCUUUAAUAGCUUAAUGUUCUCAGAAAACUCCUCUUUUCUAUGUAUGGAGCUGUGUAUUUACUUUUUAGAAGCAUCUAAUUCUAUGUCACCAUCCUCCGCAGGUUGACUUAACAGAAUAUGUCGAGAAACAUGAAUUUGUUUUUGAUGCUGUGCUGAAUGAAGAUGUUUCAAAUGAUGAGGUGAGUUUAUCAGACUCUUGUUUCACUUUACUGUUUUGUUACAGAUGAUUUUACAUUAUCUUUAAUUUUGUUACUUUAGGUGUACUUUGAGACUGUGGAGCCCAUAGUUCCACUGAUUUUCCAACGAACAAAAGCAACUUGCUUUGCAUAUGGGCAGACAGGCAAGUAUUUACCUUUUAUGAAAACCUAGUACUUCUCCAUUAUACUUAAAAUUUUGCCGUCACCUUUCUCAACAUCCACGAUUCUUUAAACUGUUGACUCGUGUAUGUAAGUUAUGUUAUCUUGUUGGAGUUUUUCAACUGUUCUUUUAAGUUCUAAUUGGUUUAAUUGAGAGAAUGUCUUUUUUCCUCCCUGGAAAUGUAUUCCAAAUAUUUAUGUUUUCUGUUUCUCACUUCUUAUUCUGUUAUAUGUGUACCUGUAAACUGAAGUUAAUCUUAUUUAGCUGUUCAGGGAGUGGGAAGACUUACACUAUGCAACCAUUACCCCUUAAAGCAUCCCAGGAUAUUCUAAGAUUAAUGCUCGAUACUUACCGAAACCAAGGUUUUCAGUUAUUCGUUAGUUUCUUCGAGAUAUAUGGAGGGAAACUGUUUGAUCUCCUAAAUGAUCGAAAGUAAGUUAUUUCAGCCUGUAGGCCAGAGAAGAUUUUCAUUCAGACUCAUUAUCCUCAAAGAGUUCCACUUUUGCAGAAAGCUUUGCAUGAGAGAGGAUGGUAAACAGCAAGUGUGCAUCGUGGGUUUGCAAGAGUACAGGGUGUCAAAUGUGGAGACAGUCAAGGAGUUCAUUGAGAAGGGAAAUGCCACAAGAAGUACUGGUACAACUGGUGCAAAUGAGGAAUCUUCCCGAUCACAUGCCAUACUUCAGCUCUGUAUCAAGAGAUCAGCUGAUGGAACUGAAUCAAAGCCUGCCCGACUUAUAGGCAAGCUAUCUUUCAUAGACCUUGCUGGAAGUGAGCGUGGUGCAGAUACGACAGAUAAUGAUAAACAGACAAGGUGGGAAUUUGUUGUGUGGAAUUAUGACCAAUUAGCAUGAUACUUAUUCAGAAAAUAGUAUCACCCUUGGCAUAGCUAGGGUUGAUGAAUCAAUUGGUUCCCUUAGGAGAUCUUCACUGCUUGGGUGGCUUAACCUUGUUGCUUUUUUAUUUAUAUUGAUUGUCCAUACAGACUAUUGUUAAAGGACCUUUGAGUUGCAAGAGAUGAUAGUUUACUUUCUUCUUGCAGAAUGGAAGGUGCUGAGAUUAAUAAAAGCUUACUUGCAUUAAAAGAAUGCAUUAGAGCUCUUGACAGUGACCAAGGCCACAUUCCUUUCAGAGGGAGUAAGUUGACUGAAGUUCUUAGGGAUUCAUUUGUUGGUGAUUCACGCACCGUUAUGAUAUCAUGCAUUUCACCAAGCUCAGGAUCGUGUGAACACACUCUCAACACUCUGAGAUAUGCUGAUAGGUAUUUAGUGUUGUACAAAAUAAGUGGAGAAUUGAAUUUUAUCAUUGUUUAUACAUUUCUCAUGAAUUUCUUUCUUCACAGGGUGAAGAGUUUAUCCAAAGGGAGUGGCUCCAGAAGGCAUCAAUCGUCUUCAUUGUCAUACCUUAGAGACUCAACCACAAUGCCCUUGUCUUCAUCUACAUCAACUGACACAACCUUUGAAGAUGACAUGAAUUAUGUUCCUAGUGAAAAGAGCAGCUUUGGUUGGUCCAAACAGAUAGAGAGAGAGCCCUCCCCACAAUUUAAUGUGGAUCGUGUACCUAGUGGGAGGGUAGAAGGAAGUUUGGCUGCAUCUGUAUAUUCAGAUUACUACAAGGAUCAGACAGGUGGUCAAAAUCUCAUAGGCACAGAUGAUCUUGACUACCCUGAGCAGGCUUAUGAACAAGACAAACCAUCGCGAGGGAAUAGUAAGAAGGUAGAGACCUACCAGCGAUCAUCGCUGGAGGAAAGGCGAAAGAUUGGCAAUCAGGUGAAAUGGAGGGAUAUGCCUGAUUUUGGGGCUAUCAACUCAAAUUCUGAGGAUGAUCUUAAUGCCGUCUUGCAGGUGAAUACAUUCUACAUUUUUCCAUCUUGAAUUGCUAAUUGGUAAAUGAUAUAUGACAUUCAUCAUACUCUCAUUUGGUUGCUUUUAGGAAGAGGAAGACCUUGUGACUGCUCACCGAAGACAAGUAGAGCAGACCAUAGAAAUUGUUAGGGAGGUCGGAAACAAUCUCUUCUGACCGCAUUGUAGUUUUAUUUUGUGCUAUGCUUGGACGUAGUUUAACUGCAUUUACUUAUGCAGGAGAUGAAUCUGCUGGCCGAAGCUGACCAACCAGGCAAUCGACUUGAUGAUUAUAUCUGUAAAUUGAAUGCCGUACUCUCUGAGAAGGCUGCAGGAAUUCUUCAACUGCAGACUCAGUUGGCUGAGUUCCAGAGGCACCUGAAUGAGCAUAGUGUUUUAGUAUCUACUUCAAGCAAUUGAUAUAAUUGGGAGAGAGAACUAAGCAGAGCAGUUGGCAUGUGGCUUUCCAGGAAGUUGAUGUGAUGAUUCAUUCUCUUCCUUGAUAGAGGGUUUGGCCCUUGUUUAUUUAUUUGUCUGUUAUGCCUAUCUAUCUAGCUUGUUGGCUCUUCAUAAAAGUUCUGUGGCAAUGUGCUUAUAGAGUAAGCUUGUUUGAGUUGCUAGGGUUUCUAUAAUAUAUGAAAACCACCUACCUCAAACUGCUUGUUUUGGGGGUAGAUGGUUUGAUCUUGUUUCUUUUUCUGUCAACAUUAUAUCAAAUCGUCUUGAAAUUAUGACCUAUGAGAGGAAUGAGAAAGAUACAUGCAAGCAUAUGCACGUUUUGUAAAGCUCUGUGACUUUUUUUUUUUGGCUUUUGGACUUUUAAGCUUUGAAUGAAUGAUCUCCAUAAUAUCGGCUAGCGAUUGGUCUAUCCGGAUUUGUAAUUUGUUUUUACUUUGUUGAAAAAUGUCUCAAAUUCGAAUUUUUCGUGUUUGAUUCAGUUACAUUUUUUUAAUGUCAUUCAAUCAUUCAUGUGUAUCUAAACCUUUUACUACAUUAGAGUGUCUUCUUGUUUCAAAUUACAUCUGGUAUCUUCCUCAAAGUCGGCUUAAGACCCAAAAGACUGCUAUUCCUUGACCAGCGAGAGAUUGCAAUCUUUGUGAUAAAAUCUUGUCUUACCUGAAGUCACUAUCAUCUCUUUUUUUGUUUCUCAAAGUCUCUAGGAUCCUUUUGUACCCUUUCCGUAAUCUUCUUUUCCAGAUUUUGUGGCUCUUGUUCCUUUUUGAUGACUGGUUUCUAUUUCAUAAAAGCUAAACCUCAUUAGUCACAAAUUUAUUUAUUUUUUGGUCAACAGUCACAAACUUGUAGACACCGACUAACCCACCAAUUGGUGUCAACAUGUCUAACUUAAUGAAAAAGGAUUUUGGUUUACACCCUCAUGUGUGUGUGAGAAAACUCUUUUCCUUUGGGACUAUCGCUUGUAUUAAAAAUAAAUAAAUCAAUAACCCCCACCAAUUGAUGUUUUAUAAUGAUUACCCACUACCGCAAAUUGCGUCCUCAAAACAGGAAUUAUGAACUCAGUUGUUCAUUGGAAAAUAGUUAAACAGAAUUAUUUCUAUGGCGGUGGUUGUUUUCAUUAUAAAUCAAUCACAUCCAUCAUCAAUGUGUCCUUUUUUCAAAAGAUAUCGCCUUCAUAAUAAAUCAGUCCCAUCGGAGGGUUUGUUUCGGAGUUGUUUAUCAAACUCUUAUAACUUUUUUCUUUUCCUUCAGACUCUUUAACCUAAAUUUGACUGGAUAGAGAAAUCUAGUCGGCUACAAUUUGCAUAACUGAUGUGAAAAUUGAUUCGAUACGAAAUGGUAUUACACAUUUAACGUAAAUCAAAUUUUUUUUAAUGGAAAAAAAAAAUCAUUGGAGAAAGGGAAUUCAAAAUCCAAUUACAUAUUUAUUGUUAACCAUCUUAAUUAAGAUAACAUUGAAAAAGAUUAUUGCCGUAUAAACACCUAUCUCAUGCAUGCACUAAAGUACGGUACCAAGUAAAUAUGGGUUGGCAGUGGUAAGAGUCAUUGCUUACAGAUCAGUAAUCACAUAUUUGAACUUUAAUAAUGCCUACUCUUCAAACGUUAACAAAAAAAGAAGGUAAGUAUGCGUCCAUUUUCUAUUUUGUUCAUGUCAUGUGGACUGUGGGUUAAGUACAUAAAUUUGUUUGAUGGAAUAUGUAAUUGGUCAAAUUAGUGACCCAUUUGUAAUUUGGGCAAGCAAAGGAUCUUCUUUGCUUAAAGAGGAGAAAGUGUAAUUAUUUUUUAUUUGAGAACAUAUCUAUGCACCUUUGUAUAGCAGCCAUUUGUGUUCGUCCAUUUUCUAUUAGAACCCCGAAUAUCCUCAUCCUCACCAUGUGUCAUAGGUUUGAGCUAUAUGCCGUAGGUAUGAAUCUAUAGUCUCACAUGAGCUAUAUGCACUCAUUUUCUUAUUAAUAUAUUUUUUUUCUUUUCUUUAAGUGCAAUAAUACACAAUUAACAAAAAAUUAUGUAUGCCACCAAAGAUUUCUUGGAAAGCUAUAGUCUCACAUUAUAAAUAAGUCACCAUGAUUAUUUAAUUAUAAGGUACCAAAUAUUUGUUUGACUUACCUUACAUGCCCGACAAUCUCUUCUUAAUUCCAAAUCAACUCCCACUUUUGAUGGAAAAUAUAAAAUAAAAAAAAAUGUUUCCUAUUAACUUCAAAUUAUUAUGUUAAAUAAAUAAUGAGAGACUGCUUAUAAAUUCUAAUUUUAAUAUUAGUUAGAGAUGUUAUUUAACAAAACUAUGUCUAUUCCCAAUGGGAAUACCCGUGAGUAGUGACUAAGCAUAUAAAUUAAUUUAUACUAAUUGACCAUCACUAUAAAUAAUAGGGAAAAUCAAUAAUAAAAAUUAAAUAAAAAGAAUAAAAAAUUGUGGCAUAAAAUGAACCGACAAGGUGUAAUAAGAGAGAGUAAGAAAGAGACAAGAACGGAUUUGGAGUAAAUAAAUAUGCUCCCCAUGGCCCUAACACCACUCCAAAAGAGCCAAAAACAUAUUUACAAGGGCUUUAGGCCUGAGAGCCAUGGACGUGGCCAAGUAGGAAGUCCACACGUACCCUACCCCUUUAUGCGCCAACGCACGAGCAAGCAGCCUAUAAGCCCAAAAGCAAAAGCAAAAAGCAAAAUCGGAUUCCUAUCGACCGAAUCUUCUAAGCCCACUCAUUUUUUUCUUUUUCUUUUUUUAAUUUCUCUCUCUCUCUCUCUCUCUCCAUUUUACAUCCUCCCAUUGGUAACGUUUCAUCUAAUUUAUUCAUUUAAUAAAUCCUGGAGCAAACUCCCAAACCCUAGCCCCAAGCGCGUGUUGGUUUGGUGAAUGAAGCUUCAUCCCCUACAAGCACCCCCUGGUUUGGCAUAAUGCUUCACUUGCAUUGCUAGCCUAUGCAUAUAAUUGAACAUUUCAUUUUGACUUUAUAUCCAUCAUAUACAUCAUUAUCACUAUUGGGUUGUUGACAAAAGCUUAAGCACCACACAUUAGUUUCUCUUUUAGGCUAAGCAUCCCUUUUCAUUGGAUGCCUUAUUGCUAUCGAAGCUAACUAAUACCUAUAUUUUAGUUUUUCUCAUUUUGAAAUUUUGAUGAUGUACUUCACGUGUGCAUUUGACCCACUAACAUUAGAUGAGAAAAUAAUAAGCAAAAUGUGUGCUCGUUCAACAUUACUAACCUUUUAGCCGAGCUUUGUAUUGCAAAUUCAAAGCUUUUCAUUAAUUUAUGUUUAAGACAACUCUUUGAUUUAUAAUACAACACUCAAAUUAAAAGAUAAUCGAUUCUAAAACAAGCAAACAAAACAAAUAAAAUUUUAAAUGAAAUUAAUGGACCUUCUUUCUUUGAUUUUCGACAAGCAUUUUUGGAAAGUCACAAUUCUAUUUAGUUUGAUUUCAAAAAUCUAGGUGGUCGCGGAUUAGUGCGUUCUACUCCACCGGCGUCCUAAAAUCAAAGGCACAAGUUGAUCUCUAUGAUUGAGGCUGUAUUCAUUUUGAUAGGUGGGAAGUCCUCACUCUCCUAGUGACUUGGCUUGGUCUCACUCCCUUCCCAUACAAGUGGCGAUGAGAAUGCUCUCUCUCUCAAAAUCACGUGUCAGUCCUAAAAAUAGACGAAUCACAUUAUCUUUCAUUUGUAUAUAUGCACUUUCAAAUCCACUAGCUAGCUAGCUGGCCGAGUUCGUACUUUAUUCAUGAAGAAAUGGAGAACCAAUUGUCAGCACUUUCACACAUCAUAGGCUAAUAGAGUUAAGAGUUAUUAACCUUAUUAGGCUACAACCCUGAACAUGAUCUUGAGACUGAUUAAAUAAUUAUCAUGUGAGAGUGUGCUAAUCCAAUCUAAUGUCGACUAUACCCACCCUGUCGUCUAAGGACUAACUACAGUUACAGUUGUCAGCUACCCCGGGGACCACGUCACUAAUUAAACAAACAAAACUUGUACUGAAUCUGAAUCCCACGCCCCCCAAAACGCGCGUUGAAGCAUCUCUUUCCCCUGGAGUUUGAUAAAUAUCUAACCAUGACGUGUGAUAAAAGCGGAGCCCAGUGGGUCCCAUAAUUCUCGCCAAUGAAUAUCAGAAACGUAUGGUCAUGUGCCACGUUAGCCAGUGUCACUGUUUGCGCUCAUCCGUUAUAUAUUACGGUGGUACUUCAACAUUCUAAAAGAAGAAAAAAGAAAAGUCGAUUCCGAUAAGGCUCUGAAAAUACACACGAGACAGAGAGAGUUGCAGAGAGUGAGAGUGUGUGUGUGAGAAACAGAAAGAGAAAGAGAAGGAGAAAGCGAAGGAAAAGGGGAAAAAGACAAUCCGUAUGGGAUGAUGAUGGAGGAGAACAACAACGUCAUCGCGCCGUUCGUUAUGAAGACUUACCAGAUGGUCAACGAUCCGACGACGGACAAGUUAAUCACUUGGGGCCGAGCCAACAACAGCUUCAUCGUCGUCGACCCUUUAGACUUCUCUCAGAGGCUCUUACCCGCUUACUUCAAGCACAACAAUUUCUCCAGCUUUGUUCGCCAGCUCAACACAUAUGUGAGCAUAUAACACAUAUAAUUGUACACUGAUUUGAUUAAUUAUCGGUGAAAAUGAAAACCCAUUUCUCAAUUUUGAUCAUAUGUGCAGGGAUUUCGUAAGGUCGAUCCAGAUAGGUGGGAAUUUGCGAACGAGUGUUUUCUGCGGGGCCAAACGCAUUUGCUGAGGAACGUGGUGAGGAGAAAGCACAUGGGUAAGAAUUCGUAUUCGAAUUCGAAUUCGAAUUCGACCACGUGCUUAUUACAGGGGAAGCACGAGGAGCUAGACGACGAAGAGAUAGUGAUGGAGAUUGCGAGGUUGAAGCAGGAGCAGAAGGCGUUGGAAGAAGAAAUGGAGAACAUGAACAAGAGAUUGGAGGCAACUGAGAGACGACCCCAGCAAAUGAUGGCUUUUCUGCACAAAGUCGCGGAGGACCCUGAGAUUUUGCCACGUAUUAUGCUCGAGAAGGAUCGUACGUUCAGGGCGCAGUUGGGGGAGAAGAAGCGGCGGGUUAUGAUGAUAACCUCAACGUCGUCGUCUUCGUCGGGCAUGGGGGCCACCAACUCCGUCAAGACCGAAGAUGAGGAUGACGGAACCGUAGGGGUAAUUUCGUCAUCUCCCGAACCGGGUUUUGAGAUGGAGAGUUUUUAUUCCACGUCUCCAGAGACGUCGACGGCGCGAGAGUGGGGGACGCAGAGGCGGGUCGUGGAUCGGGUUCGGGCUGUGCAAGACCCGUAUAAUAUGAACCCGACGGUGUCGGGUCAUGUGAUCGGGAAUAGUAGUAAUUCCGGGUACGGGUAUGGGAAUAGAAAUGUUGGUGCGGGAGUGGGUUAUCUCACAGAGGAACCUAUCCCUGCACCACCGCCUUAUCCAUUCUCGUUGUUAGAGGGUGGCUUUUAGUUUUUAGUUAUGAUUUUGGUACUUUCACAAUAUUUGGCUUUCGGUAUUAGUUCCUUUUUAUUUAUCCUUUAUUUUAAAAAAAUAGUUAUUAUGUAUAACAAAAGAAAAUAAUUCAAUGAGUUAACAAUAUUGUUUAUGGUUCCCACCACAAAGGUAGUGGAUUCCUCCUUCCUCCCAUGGCAUUUAGGUUCGAAAUCACAAGGAGUUUCUUUCCUCUAAUGUAACUAAAAAAAUAAAAAAUAUUUAUGUGUAAAUAAUAUACAUGUCGACAUUAUGUCGGUUUAGAUUUUGAAAUGAAUUUAUUGGGAAUUAAAUUCGCAUGUCUAAUUCCGGGAUAGUAGAAUGGAAUAUGUUUAUUCCCAUAAACUGAAUUUUCAUGUAAUUCGAGAUUGGUGGUAUAUAUUAUGACAUUUUCAUCAAUAUGAUCACUUGUACCAUAUAAAUGUUGGUUUCACCUAGGAUGCAUUUAAAUGUUAAACUCUAAAUGCCAACGAGGUAUAGCUUAGUAGAAAAUAUAAUUGACUUGCAGACCAGAUGUCUCAGGUUCGAACUCCCAUAACAUAUUAGUUAUGUGCAUGUGUGUGAGAAACCCUCUCCCCUCUAGUUUAGAUUAUUGCUUGUACUAAAAAAUAAUAAUAAUAAAGUCCAUAUAUUUGAUUUAUUCCCCUUUGCAAUCAAGUUCGAAUUCUCCUUCUCGUAUAUUUUAGACUAUCGUAUUUAUAUACAUAAAAUAACUUCAUAUUUGAUUUAAUAAAACUAGGUUAUUAUUAAAGAUCUUUGGAGAGAAUUAUUGUGUAUACAUAUAUCCAUAUUUACUUAUAUAUACAUGUUUACUAAGCCGGAAUUGAAUUGAGGAGGAGGAAUUGAAUCGAGGAGAAGUUGGAAUGAGGAGAGUUAGAAUCCGGAUAUUCCCAUUGAUAUUGUUUACUAAACCAAAUGGAAUCGAGGUAGGAUUGGUGUUGAUUCCUUAUAAAUUGUUUACUAAAAUCCCAUGAAUUGGAAUUGAAACUAGUUUGAUUAGUAAAAUACUCUUGUUUUUUGGUCAAAUUUGAAAUUUUAAAAAAAUAUGUGAGGAUAUAAUGAGUAGAAAAGAUGGAUUCCUGAUGUGUUAGUUAUUCAAGAAUUAGAAUACACAUCCCACCCAAGAGUCCAAUUCCUCCAAAAUCAGGAGUUGAAUUACUGAUCUUGUGUGGGCUCCACUUGCAUUUUCAUUCAUCAAUGUGAAGUAAACACAAAAGUAAUCCGUAAUCGAAAUCCAACUCUUUAUAUUGAUCCCAAUUAUGAAUUAACCUAGACCUAGGGACUAUAUAUCAUCACAUGUAUCCGAAUUGGGGCCGGAAAAUGAGAAAGUAAAAAGUGAUUGGAAAUAAGAACAAAUAAAUGUCAUUUUCUCUCAUGAAUGUAUGAAAUUCGCCCAUCCGUAAGAAGUUCAUACCCAUGAGUUACAUAUUACUACAUUCACUUAGUACCGUCUAUUGCAAUGAAUUAAAUCACACAAUUGCAAGUGAGAUUUUACUGUUUUAAUUUAAUUUCAUGCAAAAUUGCAUUUAUCCUAACCAUGCAAACGGUAGCAUUACUCUUCAGCCAAGUGUCGUUGACUAUUGGGUAAUAAAUUCAGCAAUAAGCCAAGAACACAUUAAAGUUAGAUAGAUUAGAGACACAUGAAUAAGAUGAUUCAUACAUGAAAAGUAGAAGCAGGUCCUCAGGAUUAGUUAGCUCCUCCUGAGGAAAAUAUGGUGUUUGACUCUCUUUUAUUCACUGAGGCAGCAAAAAGCGCUUCUUUCAAAUAGAUAUCGUUUUGAUUGCAAGCACGGGCUGUACUGAGUUUGUCCUCGUGGUGGUGAGCAUGCCGACUAUUCUAUAAUCUAUUUCCCACUCCCCAAUUGCCAAGUCGGUUGAUUUAAAUUCCACUGUUGGCAGCCCUGCUGGCACCGGCGAACUACAAUUGUAUCCAAGAGGAAGUGCUAAGAACAUUCGUCUACAAACUUAUUUAUACGGGAAUACUAUUAUGGCAUUAUUUCGAGUUAAUCACUUAUUAUUAUAUAUUUUAAUUUUUGAAUGUAACAAUGUGUGAUAAGCUUGGAAUACCAUUACAGUGACAUCCCAUUACAUAUAAGUUAUUCUCCAAAAAGCGAGCGAAUCGAACGACUUUCACCCACUAAUAUAUUAUGAACUCCACAUGCAUUGACAAUUAGUAACCGCCAAUGGCGUGUGUAAAAGGGACCCCAGCUCUAGCAUGGAGUUCAAUCCCAUUGAAGGAUGACCCUUCGGACCCAAGAGGGGCACAGUAAAAUUACAGAGAGGCACACAGUAAAAUUAAGGAGAGGCACACAAGACGUGCCCAUCAUUAAUAAGGCAGGCCAUCACCCUCUCUGUAAGCAUACCCUACCAAAUAUGUCACAUUUGCACGCUUGCUGUGCCCUCACUCUCAGUGGAUCGUAAUAAAAAGAGUGCCAAAAAUACACAGGCGCAGCGUAUGUGAAGGAAGGACCCUAAAUUAAUUACCAAAUGUAAUUAUCAAGUAAUUAAGAUUAGUUUAAAGUCAAACACGAUAGCCAAUGAUUAGCCAGGAUUCUUGUCAAUGGCGGAGACUCGUGUUUAAUUACGCUUCCAAUUCAUGUUCAAAUUGGGUGAAGCUCCGAUGCUGACGAGGGAUUUACGCGAGAGGGUUUACAUUAUGGGGCCCAUCCAAGCCCAAACCCUGAUUGGGCUUUCGGAGACUCGUGUCAUGCGCUGGGAGAAACUAAACUCCAUGAUGAAGUGGGCCACCCGACUUUGUUUACAAUAAGAAAAAUGGUUGUGGGUCCCAGUCUCCUUCAACCAAGUCGUCCCUACCAUUCAUCUUUCUUCUUUCCCCGACUUUUGGGUGGGGACCAGUCCCUCGACUCUUGAAACCACGUGGGGACAGCGAAAGUGGAAAGGACACGUGUUGGCUUCCCAAUGCAUCAACUUUUUGAUCUUCCUCCUCCUAAAGCGUUCACAUGAGAUGAGACAGCGGUAAGGCCAAAUGUGGUGCUGCACUGGCACACACUAUCAUGGUGGACGUUGAACCCAUGACCAUGUAGGUCCACCACGUGUGGUAUCUCAGUGAGUUCACCAACUAUGUAUUCUACUGCAUGGAUGGGUAUAUUUUUAACCCAGAAUAAAUAAAUAAAUUUUUAUUUUUCUCGUCAUGUUUGUUUUUGUAAGGGAAUAUACUAUAAUUUUGGCGGACAAACGUACCCACAGGACAGGGAAAAGAGGGUGACACCUGUCCCUUACCAAUCCGAUGAAAGGCAUUGUUGUCUUGUCUCUCAGGAUGGGGAAAAAGGGGCCAUGUAUUUAGGUUAAUUUGUCCACCACUAAACCAUUUUUAAAUUAAAACGUGGCUUAGAGAAACGAGAAAAUCAGCAAAAUUUUAAGAAAAAAGAGCGAUGUGGCAUUUGGGCUAAUUAUGCAUGUGAUUAUAAAAUGCGAAAAGAGUUAGUAGGUAAAGAAGAAGAAUUAAAAAUUGACCUGGAAAACGAACAGUGUUGUUUAUUCUGUUGGUUUCUUUUGAUCGAUUGCCAAUCAUACAUGUAGAGUAAGAUGUUCAGUAUUCUGAUAAACCAACACUAAUGAAAAACAAAAACAAAAACAAACGAACAAACUCAAUGCUCAAUAUUUGAUGUUGAAUUUAAGAUCGUAUCACUAGAUUAAUAGUUAAUUGUAUAUUAACUCGACAAGCUUGAGUAUAUUAAGAAACUGAUAUUAGGUACUAUCUUUUCAAUUUUGGUGGAGUGGGUGAUUAAUUAUUGUGUGGCUGUCUUUGUGUUUAUGUGCUUUUGUUUUGAGAGGGCGUUUUGGUUGUGUUGGUCGAUAUGUGGGUUUUGGCUUCUCGGAGGUGGCAUCAUUAUUGUUAUUCGGCUAGGUUUUGAUUUUUAUCGCGCUUUUGUGGGUUUUAUGUUUUUAGUGGACUUUAUGCUUUUGGUGAACUUUAUGCAGGGAAGCUAAAAUAAGGGGUUAUAAUUUAUAAUGAGAAGGUCCUUAAUAGCUGUCUAAUCCAAUACAAAAUUAUUAUUGAAUUAUUGAAUUAUUAAAGGGAGACUUUGGAAAAGCCCAAAGGAGAGAGAAAAUUUUUAAAAGAAGCAAAAAUAGACAAAAUUGCCCUUAUUUAUUUUUUGAUUUCCUAAGAAAUCCUUUACAUUUGCAUGUCUUUGGUUUGAACGUUGAGAGGUUAUUAUGUCUUUUUUCAAAAAGCUUUGGCUUUUUCCAAAAGUGAAAGUUUUUUUAUGGGUAAAACCUAAAUUUACUAUUAUUAAAUUAAACCCCCUGAUUGUAAUCCUUCAAUUAUGGAGUGGGCUUUCUGCCUGUAAUAAGUUUUAUUGAAACUUGUCUCUGAAAAAAAUAAAAAGGUACCACAUUGUAAUUUGCAUUUGAUAUCCACCAGAUAAAAGACAUGGACAUGGACCUUAAUUAUUCUCAAAACUUAGCUUCAAUUCAAGUAAAGUAGUGUGAGUGAAAUCAAGAAUGGUUUUGUGGCCCACUCCAUAAACAUCAUCCAUCACAUUUGGCGUUUGCAUUGCUUUCUCAUGUUAUUAGGCCCAUAAUCCAACCAAUAACCGCAUUCCAGUUAUUUGGACCGUAUACCAGUCCAUGAUGGAAUCUAUAUCACUAUCAAAUUUGUUUUGUUUUGUUUUAUUUUUUUUAAUAAAUUCCCUCUCAUCUUAGAUUAGGUCAAGACUGGUCUCAUCAGGAAGGCUCUUUUGUCCGUUUUUAUAUGUAGAAAGAGAGUGGAAAGACAAUCAAGCAAAUGAAGAGGUGACUUGUGCUAAACAAAAACGAUAUGAACACAUGAAUGAUCAUGAACUAUGACAGUCAUAGGAGGGCAUCUAGUUAGCUUUUUUUUAUAUAUCCAAUUAGCAGUGUCUUUUGAGGGAAUCGUAUCCGCGUGAAGGAAAAGAACUGCAGUUUUUUUAUAGAUUAAUUUGGUAAUUAACAGCAGCACCUAGUCCAUUUGGCAGAUAUGAAGUGCCCAGCUAGCUAGUACAGCAGAAUCUUCUAAAUAUAUAAAGUUUGCUGUAUACGGACUUUGGUUGGGGAAUGUGGAGAGAGACUAGUAUAUUCGAAAACGAAUUUGGUUGGAGGAAAAUGAAUCACCAUGCUGAUGUUAGAGAGAUAAUAGCAUUCACCACCACAAGCAUGAUCUUUCAAAAGCCUAGCUAGUAUUUGCACGCUAAGCUGUAUGUAUUAUGCAUGUACUUUCCCUUAAAAUAUUCGACCUCUAAUAAUUUUUCUGCCUUUUGAGCUGAAUCAAAAGUGAAUUAAGUGCUUGUUUUAGUUAAAGUUGUUGGGAUUCACUUUGCUUGCACCCCCGCAAUUUAAAAUCCAAAAUCAUUAGUCCCAUUUGCAGACUCAUCAGCAUCACAGUCUGCUGCAUUACAUAUUGAUUCUGCAGUUUUGCACGUCUGAAUUAAUAAAUUGAUCAAAUAUGAAGAAACACACGUACAUCUCUUUACAACAACUUGAUUCGCCAACUUAACACUCAAAUAUUACAGAUGAGUAUGACUAGUCCAGCAAUAUCUAUUCUCCACAUGUAUUUGGAGACCUCAAAGGAUUAACAAAGUUAAGCUUAAUUAAAUAAAUGUACAAUAGUAACGGGAUGUUUUAGCGGUAUGCGUAUUCAUACACUAAGUAUACUAUCUAUCUAUAUACGUUUUCAGCGUGUAUAUAUAUGUAUGGAAUUAAAUGCCCAGUCUCGUUCUGGAAAUAUUAUUUUCUGGUAAUCAGCACCCAGAGGUCAGGUGCCAUCUUUCAUUGUGUCAACUCAGAUGCUUUACUUUCUGAUAUAUUCUUACAAUCGGGCGAGUAUAAUAUAUGAAAAAGAUAAGCAAGAAACCAAUUAAAGGAAGAAAGAAAAGAAAGAAAAGAGAAUGGUAUUGAUCCUUCCCUCCAAGAAAUAAGAUUAUCUUAUAAUUAACAAGUAAACUGGCCCUUGCAAAUUGCAAACUUUCAUUAACCUACUUUGCUUAUAUAUAAUAUAUUACAUUAAGCUUUAAUAAUUAGAUGCAUACAUGCAUGACAUUCCUAUUAAUCUUUAUUUAAUACCCCACAUUUGUUAACUAACUCGUAAAGACUAUAGCUAGAGAUUUAAUUAUAAAUUAUCAUGAGUGCCGCGCGGGAUUAAAUGAAGAUUAAUGUUGAUGAGCUAUUAAUCAACGACAAUAUGUGUUUUUACAGUAAUCUUUUUGAUACUAGUCUCAAAGUCUUUACCUAAAAAGAGAAUGCUUUUCACUCUUCAGGUAGGUGUUGAGCCUUUUCAUUUGAGUAUGAAAAGAGAUCACUAGCUAGCUAGUGUGUACACUUAGUUUAUAAUUAAGAAACAAGCUUCUGGAAAAGUUGUUUUAUAAUUAAGAAACAUGCACUAAAAUCUUAAUGGGGAAUAUUAAGAGAGCAAAACAUGAUUCUAACAAACCCAAUAAUACCUCAGGCAUAUGAGAUUAGUCAAAUCUAGUGGUGCCUUCUUUGUAUAAACUAAUCAAGGAUGUUUAAAGUUGACUUUUGUAAAUGAGUGUACCUAAUCUAGCAAUAGCCAGGAUUACCGUUCAAUUAACAUAAAAACUCACUAAGACUUCAAAUAAUAAAUUUGAUAAAACAGUCAUUAGGGAAUUUGCUAACGGAAUAUCCUUACAAGUACAACUUAAUAGUUGAUACCAAUACCACUACGAUACCUCCUUAAUUUAUUUUGGUAACACGCAUGUUUAAUUUACUUAUCAAAAAUGAGUCUUUUCACAUCAAUUUGAACUUCGAAGCUUUAUACGAGUACUACAUGGGUUAUGUACAAUAGGAUCAUUGAUUUUCAGGCAUGUAGAUUCUCAAUUCGUCUCCUAAAAUCUAUCAGAUAUCAAUCAUGAUGAUGGCCUGAAAUAUUUGUUCUUGUAUAUGCUAGCUGCUUGAGUGGAAAUAGCAAUGAGAAAUUGACAAUUCGAUGUACUUUGGUAUUUAAAAGUUGACCCGGUAACAUUGCCUAGCUCGUUGACACAUCCAAUCACAUACACAAUAGCCUCACCUUGGAAAUUAAUUCCAAUCCAAGAAAAGAGAAAGGAAAAAAAAAACACAGAGAGUGGGCAAUUUGAAAGCGAGUAAUCAAAUUGAAGGAAAGAAUCUGGGAGAAGGGAGAGAUACUCUUGGUUAUAUGUUUGGUUUUAGGUCUAUUAAAAGAAAACAAACAAGAAGAUGGAAAAGAGAUUCUCCAAAAUCAUGGGGCAUUUGAAUUGUGUAUACUUGGAUGGCAUUCGGCUUUCUGCCUCCAAAUUAUGGCAACAUAUAUAAUAUAGUGGCCCAUUGCAAUCGUGACAAGACAAUUGCAACUUCAAAUUUGAAAUAGUCUAGUUUGAUUCUCACUUAGAAUCCCACAGAUUCUCCAACCAAAAGUUUGGAGAAAUUAUAUGCACAGGGGUAUUUUUUUCGCAGCUAGUUUUGUAUUCUCUAUCACCAGCCAUCUUAAUCUCUAAGCUCUAUUGGUAUAUAAGAUGGUCAAAAAGAGCAUCACGCUAUGGUUCCAAAUUCCAAUACCUAAGAAAGCGUUAUGAUUGGACGGUUAGGAACUAUAGUCUCCAUGGAAAUAUCAGUUGGGCCAAUAUAUUUGCACAAAGAGAGAUUCUUCAUCCACCAAAGUGUCUUGUGGGGCCCUUCAAACCUUGUAGCUAGCUGCAAUUGUUGAAACCACUAAAAGAGUAAAAUCUCACUUGCAAUUUGCAACUUGCAAUGAUGUGAUUUAGUUUAUUACAAUAGAUGUAAUUAUAAUUUUUUAAAAAUACAGUAAUUAAUGCAUUAUAUUCUUAAGAGCAUCUUAAUGGUUCUUCAAUAGUUGAACGCAAUAGAAAAAAAAUACAUUAAUUAAAUUACUUUUUUUCAAAUAUAUUCAAAAUUGGUCUCUUUUUAAAAAUCUCUUUGAGAAUAUUGCAAUGAUACAAAUUUUAGUGUAAAAACAACGUGUAAGUGGAUAUAACUAUUGAUUUGAAGCUAUUGAACUAUGUCAUUGCAAGUAAAACUGCAGUUCAAUUCAAUAAAUACUAAAAAAGAUCAAUUUAUUGAACUAUUGAACAACCAUUUUCGAUGCUUAGCACCCCAAAAAUAUCCAUUUCAAAAUAAAAGUUAUUACAUGUAUAUAUUGGUUGACCAUGUGAUGUUCAUGUCAUCAAUCAGCACCGUCCACUAUGUCCUUGAUGUUGAAUCAGUAAGUACUGUGUCAUCGUAUCAAUAACAUCCUAGCUAGCUAGAGUAGAUACUUGUCCUUGUAACUAGAAUGUUUGCUCUUUCUCUCUCUCUCUCUCUCUCUCCCCACUCGUCCUUGUAACUAGAAUGUUUGCUCUCUCUCUCUCUCUCUCUCUCUCUCUCUCUCUCUCUCUCUCUCUCUCUCUCUCUCUGUGAUGAAGUGGGUGAAGAGGCAGAAGGUUGUUGUUGGUUAGUUAUUAUUACUAACAUAGAUAUCAUAUGUCCCAAUUCAUAUAUAUAUAUAUAUAUUCACAAUUUUACCACUAAGCCUACUAUAUGCCUACCAUAUAUGUGUAUAUAUACUGGCCCCAAUUCAAUCCCUUUGUGAAUACCUCCCUCCCCUAGUUGUCCUCCCACUCACUCUACCUUUGUUUAGCAAAAGUGUUGUCUCUAACUUCUUAACUCUCCAUCUCUUUGCCUCUCCCUCCAUUUGAACAAAAACAAAACCACCAAACCCUCAUUGCGCAUAUUGGACAAGACCCAUCUCUUUGUACUUGCCAAUAUUCUCUUCAGCCUAAUCUCAUUGAUCAUUGGUCACCCUAAUUAAUCAGCUUUUUCUUCUUUAAUUACUAGUACUAUUACUUCAAGGUGUGAAGUACAAUUAGUACUUGAUCAACUUUUAAGCACUAUAUAUAUUGCUGAUUUUAUGGACUAUUUGAAAGAAUUGGAAGGCAAAAGACUUCAUGAUCAUUUUGAAGCGAAGAUGGCCGCUAAAACUACAAGAAGGCGUAUAUUUGUUCCUGGGCCGGUCAUAGUUGGAGCUGGCCCUUCUGGUUUAGCUGCUGCUGCUUGUCUCAAAGAAAAAGGUAUUCCCAGCUUGAUCCUUGAAAGGGCUAACUGCAUAGCUUCGUUAUGGCAGCUUAAGACCUACGACCGCCUCCGCCUUCAUCUCCCCAAGCACUUCUGUGAACUCAUACUCAUGCCCUUCCCUUCAGAUUUUCCCACUUACCCAACCAAACAGCAGUUUCUGGCUUACCUAAAUGCUUAUGCUGAACACUUUGAUUUGAAGCCUGUUUUCAAUAUGACAGUGGUGAGUGCAAGGUUUGAUAGCAGAUGUGGGCUUUGGUUUGUUAAGACUUUGGGGUUGAAAAAUGAGGAGACUGAGUAUGUUUGUCAAUGGCUGAUUGUUGCCACCGGUGAAAAUGCUGAGGAGGUUGUGCCGGAAUUUGAAGGGGUGGAUGAGUUUGGGGGGCCUAUUCUUCACACCAGCUCUUACAAGAGUGGUGAGUUGUUUAGGGGAAAGAAGGUUUUGGUGGUUGGAUGUGGGAAUUCAGGCAUGGAGGUGUGUUUGGAUCUCUGCAACUACAAUGCAAGCCCUUCCCUCGUUGUAAAAGAUUCGGUGAGCAUACUCAAACUCUGCGUUGCCUGCCAUUAACCCAAUUUUACUUUUUUCUUUUCCAUCUCAUAAAUAAUCUCAAUUCUUUUCAUUAUUAAUAUCGCGGUGGGUAAUACAGCUUCAGUGAUAGAGCAUUUACCUAGUGAUGACAAGACUUCAAAUUCUCGUCCUCUCCCUUUAUAUGGUUUCAAUCUCAAUACUUUUCUAGUUAGUGUGAGUUAAGGUUCUCUAUAAUUUCUUUAAAAGGUAAUAUUUGAUUCCAAUUCAGAGUGCCUCUAGCUAGAUAUGAUAAUAGCCAAACCUAGUAUGACUACUUUUCAAAUUUUGUUUUAGAAAAAAACCUAAUUAAUUUAAACUUGGUCUCAUAAAAAAAUGAUUUUGGUAUACUUUAAAAGUUUCUUCUUUUAACACACAUGCACAAUUAGUUUUGGAUGAUUAGUGGUAGAUGUUGUGGACAAUAUGCUAAGCUAGCUUGUCUUCUAACAAAAGAAGAAGUCAUUCUUCUCUCUCACUUUCUUGGAAUUCGUUUGCAUGCGCAAUCAACACGGGUCAGAAAAACACAAAAUCUCAUGCCAUAUAUAAUCUAUGAUGUGGUAGCUCUCGCUAGCUUUCCCACGUACAAAAUGUUCUUUUGCAGAGAAUCAGCAGCCAGUGGUGGUACUCUAGCUCAUUAUACACACUCUAUCAUAUUUUUAUUUGUUUUGUUUUUUUCAAUGCUUUUAGAAAAUUCUUUCUGAAUUUUGUUCGUAAAAUAUCAAUUGUUUGUAGGUGCACAUCUUGCCGCAAGAGAUACUGGGAAUAUCAACUUUUGGAUUGUCCAUAUGGUUGCUCAAGUGGUUCCCCAUGCGCCUUGUGGAUCAUUUUUUGCUUCUUGUCUCACGCCUCAUGUUUGGUGACACUGCCCAGUUUGGCAUCAACCGCCCGGAGCGUGGCCCUCUUGAGCUCAAGAGCAUGACUGGCAAGACACCUGUUUUGGACAUUGGCACACUUGCUAAGAUCAAAACUGGCCACAUCAGGGUACUUAUGGUUAUUAUAAUAUAAUUGCGCGCUUAAUAAGUUUAAUUAGUCCUGUGUCGCGUGACUUUAUAGAUAGAUCAAUGGCUAAUCAGACUAUUGCCCAUGUAGGUUUGCAAGGCAAUAAAGCAACUAAAACAUCAAGCUGUGGAGUUUAUAGAUGGGAAAGUAGAGCAUUUCGAUGCCAUCAUUUUCGCAACGGGGUACAAAAGUAAUGUAACAUCUUGGUUGAAGGUACGUACUAAUGACAACUAUGUUUGAUUAACUACUAAAACUAAUCUUCUUGAAGUUAACUUGGGUUAAGACUUAGGAAACUUUCUUUUUGUUAAUUUUAUUUUCUCAGGAAACAAACAUGUUUUCAGAAAAAAAUGGAUUGCCUCGGAAGCCCUUCCCAAACGGAUGGAAAGGGGAAUGUGGAUUGUACUCAGUGGGGCUUACACAACGUGGCCUACUGGGCGCUUCUCUUGAUGCAAGAAGGAUUGCAGAGGACAUUGAGCAUAGCUGGAAAGCUGAGGCCACGCAUUUCAUGGCCUUCACAGCUUGUGCGCUGCCACCAACACCACCACCACAGCCUUGAUUAUAUUAAGCAAAAACAACCUGCAUAUCAUAUACCGGCGGUGAAUAUCGAAAGAUAAUUUAUAAAAACAAAAAACAAAAUUAUUGAUCACUUUAUAUAUAUGCAGCUGCCUUUGACAAGACCGAGGAAUUUGGUUCCUUUGCUAGCUACCCCAGUAGAGCGAAGGAAGAUAAGAAAAGAAAAGAAAAGAAAGCAAAGAAAAAGAGAGGGGAAAAAAGGUUGUGGGGUUGAAAAUGGAAGUUGGGUUCCAAUUCCAAUCAUUCAAUUAUAAUAGUAUGCCUAGCUAGGGGAAUGUUGGGUGCAACAAAAAGUUUAAUGCUUCUUUUGGGCUGUGGGGAUUGGUGGUUCUUCUCAUCAUCAAUGCGUACGUAUAUCUUGUAAAUUACCACUUUUACUUUAGCUUACUAGCUAGGAUAUAUUAGGGUACUGUUUGAUUAAUUAAGAGAGAGACUUUGGGUUUCUCAGACUUGGUUAAUCAGGUUUUAUAAUUUUUGUGUCUGAUUUUAAGAUGAUCGAUGGUGGUGUGAUCGAAUUUAUGUGAAGUAUAAGGUAUAAACUGAAUUUUAAUGUGAUUCGGGAUUGGUGGUGUAUAUAGAGAAUAUGACAUUUUCAUCAAUAUGAUCACUUGUACCAUAUAAAUGUUGGUUUCACCUACGAUGCAUUUAAAUGUUAAACUUCAUAUGCCAACGAGGUAUGGCUUAGUAGAAAAUGUCAUUGACUUGCAGACUAUAUGUCUCGGGUUCGAACUCCCAUAGCAUCUUAGUUGUGUGCAUGUGUGUGAGAAACCCUCUCCCCUCUAGUUUAGAUUAUUGCUUGUACUAAAAAAAAUAAAAAAUAAAGUCCAUAUAUUUGAUUUAUUCCCCUUUGCAAUCAAGUUCGAAUUCUCCUUCUCGUAUAUUUUAGACUAUCGUCUUUAUAUACAUAAAAUAACUUCAUAUUUGAUUUAAUAAAACUAGGUUAUUAUUAAAGAUCUUCGGAAAGAAUUAUUGUGUAUACAUAUAUCAAUAUUUACUUAUAUAUACAUGUUUAUUAAUCCGGAAUUGAAUUGAGGAGGAUGAAUUGAAUCGAGUAGGAGUUGGAAUGACGAGAGUUAGAAUCCGGAUAUUUACAUUGAAGUUGUUUACUAAACCAAAUAGAAUCGAGGUAAGAGUGGUGUUGAUUCCUUAUAAGUUGUUUACUAAAUUCCCAUGAAUCGGAAUUGAAACUAGUUUGAUUAGUAAAAUACUCUUGUUUUUUGGUCAAAUUUGAAAUUUUAAAAAAAUAUGUGAGGAUAUAAUGGGUAGAAAAGAUGGAUUCCUGAUGUGUUAAUUAUUCAAGAAUUAGAAUACACAUCCCACCAAAGAGUCCAAUUCCUCCAAAAUCAGGAGUUGAAUUACUGAUCUUGUGUGGACUCCACUUACAUUUUCAUUCAUUAAUGUGAAGUAAACACAAGAGUAAUCCGUAAUCGAAAUCCAACUCUUUAUAUUGAUCCCAAUUAUGAAUUAACCUAGACCUAGGGACCAUAUAUCAUCACAUGUAUCCGAAUUGGGGCCGGGAAAUGAGAAAGUAAAAAGUGAUUGGAAAAGAGAAGAAAAGAGAAGAAAAGAGAAGAAAAGAGAAAUCAUGUUGGCCAAAUAAAAAGGUCCCCAUGGCCGUGGCCAUCAUGAUCAGGUUCUUAUAUCAUAUCUGUGUAUCUUGUUCUGCAUAUGAUGAUUAUGAUAUAUUUUAAAAAUAUUUGGUGAUCAAAUUGCAUUAAUUGUUAUCCUUAUUGCCCGAGCUAUAACUGGGCCUUUAUAUCCUCAUCAAUUACUCGGACCACCAUGACCUUCUUGAGCAUUCGCAGAAUAUCCACCACAACUUGACCUUGUCAUCAACAUUUACGGGUAUAACAUUUAUGACCAUUAUUCUAUCAAUAUAUAUAUAUAAUUAAAGUCAUUUUCAUGUCUGAUUGUUGAAAAUAAUUUGCGAAUCAACAACAAGGGUCGGUGUAUCAGUUUCAAUUCUAAGUGAUCACGACUAACUUUUCAAUUAUUUGUGUGUGUGUGUGUGUGCGCUGUGUAUUGACAAAGCCAAUAUAAAAAUGUGUGAAGCUGUGCAUGAAUGAGACAAGUACAUUGGUAGAAUAUAGAGGGUGUUAGUUAGGGUUUAAUGAUUUGUUGUUGGCGUGUUUUAUUCCGACCGAUUGGAAUUUAUGAAGCAUGCAUAUACAUAUACAAAUCGAAUAUUGAGCUUCUGCAUAUGAAGACAAACUAGCUAGUUGUAUAUAAGCACACACAGAAGAGAGAGAGAGAGAGAGAGAGAGAGAGAGAGAGAGAGAGAGAGAGUAUCAACAUCUUGAUUGAAGGUUUUCUCUACUUGUAAAAUCCCAAUCAGGAGGACCAGCAAGUGUGGCCUACUAAUAAUUGCCUCGCAGCCAUGGCCCAUGAGAUCCCAUAAUGCCAUAUUUAAUCAAACUCCACAAAUUUGCUACUCCUCCUUUUGCUGCCGACUAUUUUCUCAAAUCAUGUUUCAUAUCCUUAUAAUUUAUAAAUAUGUGAUAUAUAUAUACCAUGAAUGAAUGCAUCCCAAUUGAUCGGAAAUUCGAAGGUUACUAAAAGGAAGGAAAAAAAUUUCCCAAUGUAAUUUUUAAAGAAAAAGAUGUAAUAAUGAGAUAAUGUGAGAAUUUGCUCUCUUCUGGGUUAGAGCAUUCAAUCCUGCAUGCUUCAUGAAUCGCAUCUUAUCCCAAAAUCAAAAUCAAUUCGUAAUGAAAAAGUAAUUAAACUUCUUAUACGCACAUGUAAAAUUUUGUAACUUUUCGUUGUAAUACAUUUCUUCAAAUCCACACAUAUGACCAACUCUCGUCAAGUCUCUCAACCACCUUGAGUUUGAGUUGGGUUGAAAAUUAAGACGUAAAUGGUCCAUAACACGUGAUAGCCAGACGUAUAGUAUGUGUGGCAACCCCCGUCACAGCUUUCCCCAGUGUACGUAUACACAUGGGGCACAUGCUCAUCGAUUUAGACUGCCAAUAUUUUCAUAGAUUUACAGCCUUUAUUAUCCGUGGUCCAAUAAUAUUCAUUACCCUAACUGUUCUGAUUGAGUGCCCUAAAAUUUCCGCAGGACCAUUAAUUUCCCAUCACUUAAACAUCAUCAAAUGCAUAAAGUAAAACUAAUUAGUCAAAAAAGGAACGAUCCUAGUCUUGUAGUUAAAUUACUAAGUUUAGAAAACCCACAGAGGAGAUGGAAAGAGCAAAUUGGGUAAGGCCACUAGUCACCAGAGGUUGGCAUGAAAAUGGAUCUGAAUUUUAUGUGACUUUAUUACGUAGGUAUGAAAAGGGCAAGACAUGCAGGCGCGAGGGCGUGUGAGUAAGAACAGAGACGACUCGUCAGAGGCAUUAGGGAAUUUCGAGAUGGACAUGACACCUUUAUAUUGUACACCCAUCAUAUAUUCCAUCUCUCUCUAGUCUCUACUCUACCUUAUACCUUUGCUACCUAACAAACAUAUCUAUACUUCUCUUCUUCUUCUUCUUCUUCAAGUAUCUACCUAGCUAGCUACAUAUCGAUUAUGGACCACCACUUGCAACUUGGCUUCUUCAAUCAUCCAUCCUUCCGCAUGUUAUGGGAUUCCAAAGUUGAAGAUUGCACUCAGCCUCCACUUUCCUCUUUCGUGAAAUUUCUAUUUUCAAUGCUUUCAUAAUAUCUGAGAAAAUCUUACAUAUCUAUAUCUUUCAGCUUAUAAAUGAUCAUAAUAAUUAUUAUUAAGGACCAACUAAUCACGUGAUCUCAAUGUGAUGAGGAGUUGGCGAUACGAGGGAGUGUCACUAUUAUUUGUUCUAGCAUCGAACACAUGGAAUGAUAUGAUGUGAAACAAGACUAGAAGAUCAUUCCCCAAUCAAGUAGCCACAAAAUUGUUUGUGUAAGCUAGACGUUUUUAUAACAUUUAACUUCAUAGCCGCCGGCUUUGAGUAAACCAAACCUUGUCAUUAUCAAUCUAUCUUAAAAUUUGUGGUUAUAUAUACAUGCGCACAAGAAGCUAGCCAGGCUAGAAGAAUGUGUGUGUGAAUUUGCGUCUGUCAACUCAUGAAAUAUGUUAAUCUUGUCGUCAAUUUAGAGCUGAUUUAUAUGAUCACAUAGAAUCAGACACUCACUACAAGCCUGCAUAUACAUAUCAAUUCUAAAGACCAUAAACUCCCCAAUGUGACCCUAGCUCUAGUCACCCAGCAGGGCUUUGAGAAAGACAGCAGUAAAAAAGACGACGGUUCUUUUUCUUUUUCUUUUUCUCUGUCACUGAUGAGCAAGCUUUGUUUGAAGGAGUGAAAGCAUGCAUAUGUCUAAAGAGAGCUGCAGACUUGCUUAAAGGGGAGAGAGAGAGCCAACUUACUUAACCCACUUGCUCACUUUUCUAGUGGCACAUAUAACUCGCCCCCAUCUUCUUGGAAUCUAAGUGGAUCUUUGCGAAUCUUCCCUGGGUUUCAAACCAGGAAAAGAACAAAAUUCUCAUGCGUUUUGAGUUCCAUGUUUGCUAGGGUUCCAACUUGGUAAUUCAUGACUCAUGAAAUAGUUUGCAAGAUGUGAUAUAUUGUUGCUGGGUUCCACCAAAAGUCUAAGUGGAGAGAUAGAUCCAAAGAUUCUGUCAUCGUGCGCACCAUUUUUCAUCCAUCUCAUCAUUCUUGUACUUUUUCUUCAUUAGACACAAAGCUCAACCCUAGACAUCAAAAUCACUUGUUACAAGUCACGGACACAUGUUUGCAUGCUGCUGGAUUCAUCUUCUUUUGGUACAACAUUUGUCUAGUUAUAAAGGUUACCUUCAAAAAAGAAAACACUAACAAAUGUGGAAAUCAUAAAGCUCAACGCUAUACAGAUAUAUUGAGGCCUAGAGGAAAAUCAUAAAUGAAGUCAUUUUUAUAUUCAGCACAAAUCAUUUUGGUUAAAUCUCUAUUUUACUUAACUUUCAUAUAGAAAUCAUUUUUCACACUUCAUUGAUAACCUUUUCUUAUAUAUAAAAUUAUAUUUUUUUAAAACAAAAUUCUUUAUGUAAUCAUGACAACGUAGGUGAGUCAUUCUAUAGUGUGGGUCUUAUCUUAUGCCCUAGGCGACACACAUGCUAGGGCAAAUUAGUUAUAUCUUUAGAAAAAUGAGUGGGUGGUUAGAAACACCAAGAUAGGUAAAAGGCACCUCUAUGAUCGAUGAUCAUAGAAAUUCAUAGAAAAAUGAAUAAUGAGUCAAUUAACAAAAUCAGCGGAUGAGUUGUGGUUAAAGGUGAAAUGGUCCAUGAAUCUAAGAAAUAGAGAGAAUUUGCUCCUUUCUCCUUGGUCCAAAGCCCUUAGAUAAAGUCCUAUAUUUUAAUCGUAUGAUCAAAUUAACCAAUUUAAUUGAAUGGUUAAGAGAUAAGGGCCUCAGAUGAGACCCUCACUAUAGAAUUCUUGCAGGGUUGAAGCUAUUUGGGCUAGACCAAAAACAAAAAUAACAAUAAAUAUAUAUGGGCUAGUCUCUAUCUGAGCCGACUAGAAGUAAAUCUGAUGAGUUCAAAUGGAUCAGAAAGAUGUUUUGCCCAAUGAUGAGAUUCGGCUUGUAUGUGAGCCCAGAAAGAUCAAUUGAAAGUUAAGCCCAUUAAUCUUUUUACUGUCCGGAUCAUGUAGCCCAUAUUCAGCCCGCAUCGCCAAGCAUCAUGUGCAACAACCGCUGUAAUGUAAACUCUGCAAAAACAAAAAAAAAAAACAAAAACCAUAUGGAUUUUCAGGAAGAAAAAGAAAAACAAUCAGGAUUAUGGAAGUUGCCAAUAUAAUUGGUUCGAUUCAAUUGAAUAUAAAUUGUUGCAACCGGAUUGAUAUAGGGUUCAUUUGGUUUGAAGGGUAAAAUUUGUGUGUUCUCCAGUGUAUUUUAGAAAAACUAAAAUAAAAAUGAACAAACAUACAAAUCUCCCCAUACAAACAUCUAGGUUAAGAAGGAAACAACAAGAAGAAGCUGAUAAUGUCACCCAAUUAGCAUCCUCAUUAGCCAUUAGCAUGCAACCGUUAUUCAAGUAAAGAAUUUGCCACACAUUUGUUAAUUUCUCACUUAGACCAUAUGUUAGGUCUGAAUAUUCGGAAGGGGAAGAAAAUUACUAUUAGAUUAAGUGUUAGUUGGUAUAAUGUAUAUACAUAACAUUGUUACACGAAAUUAAAGUUAGUCGCCGUUUGUAAAAGCAUCAGUGAAAACACUUGGUCAUAAAAAUGAGAUGAGGUGAUCACAAUUCCAAGUUAAAUCCAUUAAUGAAUAAUAAUAAAAAAAAAUCAAAUUAUUUAGACAGAGGCUGUCACACACAGAAACAAAAAUGUCAACCGACCACAGAUAGAAAUCUAUGAAGAACAAGAAUACACAACUGACUUGAGAACAAAUAGAAUGUAAAAUACAAGAACUGAGAGGUUCAGAAUUUAAUUACUGCUAACAAUUUUGGUUCCUUUAAUUAGGACAUCAUCAGAGACCUUGGCCUCAGCCUUGACUUGAUGCUGCGUGCUGGUGUGGCUGCUGCGGGUGCUGCUGGACCAAAAAACUCAGCAUACACGUCCAUGAAAAACUUGUCCACAAUUUCUAAAUAGGCAGGGCAAGUGAGCCUAGAAUAAUAAUGAAGAACCUCUUCUAUGUCCAAAACAUGAUCCACAUUGCUCAUGUCAAGCAUCUCCAUCUCCUUUAUCUUCUGUGCCACCAAGCAACCCUCUCGAAGCUCCCUCGAUUCCUUCGGAACAGUUUUCGUCUUUUCGUCUCUGUUCUUGAUCACCGUCCUGUUUUUAAGAUCAUAUUUCUCAUAAUUUGUAUUGAUCUUUGCAGGAGGAGGACUUGCAUGAUAAGCAUUGAGCUUGGUGAAGCUUGUUGGGCUCUGAACUUCUUGAUGGUGGUCUUGUAAUUUGGUGGGUGUGGAGAUAACUUUCUUCUUGUUUGAUCUCCUCAUCUUUUCAAUUUCGGAAUCCCAUUGGUCUGUGAAGUCAGUGUACAGCUUGUCCAAGUCUUUGUAACUUGUGGUGUGGAGAUUGUUUAGGUCAACAGCAGUAGCAUAUUGAAAGGGGUUGUUGUAGACAGGAGGAGAUUUUGGGAGCUUUUGGUAGCUUCCUGCGGAGAAGAAAUUCUUCAAGUUCCCGAGGGUUUUCUGGAAGAACCUCUUGGUGUUGGAAAUGGGAUUUCUAAGCAGCAUUGGUGGCACCUUUGGUGGGUGUGCUGAUUAAUUAAGUGGGAGGAGUUGGGUUUUUUUAUUUUUUCUCAGUGAAAAAAUUGAGGAGAGAGACUGAGAGAAUAGUUUGAAAUUCUUCUGUCAGUGGUUUUGGGUGAUGAUCCGAGUGCAGAAGGAAGGUUUCUUUAUACAGAUAGCAGAAGCGGAGGAGCCAUGGAAGGUUGUUUAACGUUGGAUGGAGAAAAGGGAAUAAGUGCUCCUCCUCUCUUUGGCUUUUUUCCCUUUAUGUUUCUUUGUCUCCACACGCUCCCUUGCUUCCUUGUUCUUUUUGGAAAAUAUGUUUCUUUCUUCGUUUUGGGAUCAUGAUGACGAAAUGAAAGAUAUAUUGAAGCUAAAGGUGGUGACUUGCUUCUUUACAUAUAUAUAAUAAUAACAAUGUUUCGUUGCUUUUACUUUUGAAGGUGGAGUUGGUGUGUAGGCUCUUCAGGAAAAUGAAAGGAGCGGGUGGUUGUUAGACCGAGUCUCUCCUCGCGUAAAGGGAGUGAGCACAGCACACUAUCAUGGCCAACUGACAUGAUUUAUAUUUUCGUAUUAGCUAAUUUUAUUAAUCACACUAUUAUGAUCAACUGACUUGACUUGACUUGAUUUACAUUUCCGCAUUAGCUAAUCUCAUUAAUCACACUAUUAUGACCAACUGACUUGACUUGAUUCACAUUUCCGCAUUAGCUAAUCUCAUUAAUCACACUGUUAUGGCCAACUGACCUGAUCCAUAUAUCCGCAUUAGCUAAUCUCAUUAAUUACCUUUCCUGUUUCUACUCCCAUAUACACAACUACAUGCCUAUAUGGUAUAAAAAAAACUAUUAUGAUAUUUAAAAAGUGUUGAGAAUGAAAUCAAUCCCAUCUAGAUAAUGACAUUUUAGCUUCUUUAAUUUCCUAUUUUGGUUAAUUGGUUCUUGCAAAUGGAAGUUUUAAUUGGUUCUUGCAAAUGGAAGUUUCCAAAUUGAUAUACUCUUCGUACCCUUUAUUGGGUAAGAGAAAGCCCAAUGAUUCGGUUUCCACUCACUUGAAAAGUGCCGUCUCUUCCAUCCAUCCAAAGGCUCCAAAAGCUGAAAUAAUACAUGGGAUGCUUUUGGUUUGUGGUUCUCCUCCAAGGUUAAAAUGGUUGUCUAAGAUUUGUUUAAUUGAAAUGAGACAUGAGCAAAAGGCUUAUAAACCAAUGUCAUACAAAAGAGAGGAGAAAAAUUAAAACAAAGCAGCAAAUUACAAGGCCAAUGUAGAUGACCUUACGGUUGUUGGGGUGGGCAAAUAUAGAGAGUCAGUGAGAAGAAAGUGAUGCAGCAGCAGCUGAUGAGUGAAAAUGACUCAAGAACAGCUCAUGUAUCAUAUCAUAGGUCUAGCAGAUGGUUUGGCCAUUCACAGCGUGCCACAAGUCGCCCUAGAGUUGGAACCAGUCUCUUUCAUCUCAUCAGUGACUCAGUCCUCCUAGCUUACCCUGGGCUCAAGAUCACUGCUGCUGCUUAAGGCUAACCUAAUCACAUGUGACAUGCCUAUGCCUAACACUUGUUCCACUUAAACCAUAAACCCCAACAUUCUCCACCACAAACCAUAAAUCCUAACAAAACCCUAAAUUUUAAUGCCAUAAAUCAAGUAUUAAAUUAGAUUUUGAUCAUCUGUCUUAGUUACAUAUUACUGUUAUUUAUUUGUGAAAAUAUUUUAUUUUUUAAGUCUAAUCACUUUCAAAUUAAUCUAACUUACGGAGGAGAUCCAAAUUUGAGUGCAACGGAACGAACUCAUUAUCAUCAAACCAUCUUAUUCAAAAAUGAAACGCUUAAAUGCCCCUAUAUUUUUCUAACCCUGGGCGAUCCCAUGUGCCCAACCUCAUGUGGGCUUUUGCAGGGUUUAAUUGUGUGGUUUAAUCUCCUCCCAGUCAAUCUCUCCUCCCAGAGCCAGUCUAUAACAAGAAAAGCCCAAUUCACCUGGGAAUAUGUGAGUAAGAGAGAGAGAGGGCACAAGAACCCAAAAUAUGCUUGAAUUAAUGAAAAAUCGUUAGCCCAAUGGAGAUGCAGAGGUAUGAGCAUGAAGAGGCUCAGUAACCAAAAAAAUGCGACCAUUAAUGCAAAUAUAGGCCAAUGCAGGCAAACCUCAAAUGUAACAUCAUUGGCACUGUAAGACAUUCUUACACCCUGCCUGCAGGCUGCAGCUUAGCCCUCCAAUUUUAUUGGCCCAUCAUAAAAAAAUCCAAUGCCUCUCUGCUUCAAGUUCAUAGAAGCAAGAGAAGCCAAAUCUCUCAGUGUGUAACAUAGCUAUCAAAGUAUCAGACAUGGAAAUAAAAGCCAUGUACAUACAUUCUACCCCAAUGGUCCCCCACUCCAUCUUCAAAAAUAUCAGAUCCACUGUUUUCUCAUUCCAUUGUGUCAUCUCUUUCAUUUCAAUUUUAGUUUGAAGCAAAACCCAUUUGCCCCAUUUCCCUUCCCUUGAAACAGACGUAUCAGUUUUCAUGGAAAAGCCACCACUGCUGAUGCUGCCAUUGACAUCUCAGUUUCAAGGGCCUUUUCGAAUGGAAAGUGUCCUCAUCUGCAUAACAAAACAAACCAACCCUUCUUUUCCCUUUCCCUUUUCUGUAUACACAAAAUUGCCAAAUUGGGUACAUUUUUUCUGUAAAGUUUGGUUUUCAUUUUUGGUCAGAUCAUGAAGCUAUGAAUGCCUGUUGGUAGGUUUCAAUCUGAAUUUGAAUGCCGAAAGAUGUUGGAAGGAGGCUACGCUGCAGACCUACAGCUAGCUAUAUUUGAUGUUAGGGUGGUAGGGUGUGCUUGGUUGGUCUUGAUUCUGUCUUGCCUCCGUUUUCGAUAUACAAAUCGAAUCAAAUUUUGAUUCCAUUAACUAAGCAGUAAACAGUUGUGGUUGACAACACAACAAAAAUCAAUGGCCCAAUGAUGUAUCUUUGUCUGGCUUGCAGAACAACAAUUUUCAAAUAUUAACAAUAUGGUUUUCUUGUCCACUGCCAUUAUGCCAGUAAUCCUAGUCAAUUGUAUGGACAUGAAGCUCACAGUGGAUUGUUAAUCAAACUUGCAAAAGAAGGUGGUUGGCUAAUAUGACCAAAAAAAAAAAAAAAGAGGUGGUUGGCUACUUAUUUCUUUAUAUGGGACAAAAGCAUAUCACUCAUCACAUUUUCUUAUCAAUUACUAUAGUAUAUACCAUAUGCCAUUGUUUUUAAUUUUUUUUCCAACUUGUUUGACCAACCAUUACACAAAACCAACUUGUAAGUUUAUUUUUUUAAAAGACAUAAGAGGGAAAACUCAGAGAAAUGGAGUGAUUAUAGAAUACUACGGUAGUACGGCAACGUGGUACAUCUUAUAUAUAUGUUAUAAUAUAAGAGGAUAUUUAUUAAUACCAUUCCUUUAACGGGGAAAAAUAAACUAUGACGUUCACUUGUAUUAUAACUCGUGUACAAGAUAUAACACGUAACCACGCUACUGUAGUAUUCUAUAAUCUCCCCUAAAUAUGAAGACUUCAAAAGGAGAAAACCCCAAAAAUGUUCAAAUUAACUCUAGUCUUUUUAGGUAGGGAGAAGGUAGGCUGCAUGUGGUACAACAAUAAUGUUCAAUCACAAGAACUUACCUUUAGGGGAUUUUGAAAAUUGGAUUUACCUUUUUGUAUUCUUUUGGUGCAAUCUUGGAAUGAAAAUUCAAAAAGUCCAACCACAGAGAAAAAUGAGAGCAACUUUAUGUGAUCUAACACUUGCUUUCCCCAUCUUAGUGUCCAAGUUGAAAAAGUUUCAUCCCACACUCAAAAAGUAAUGGAAACAUCCAAAGACUUUUAUUUUCCUCCUGAUAUACUUCCCUGAAACAAUCUUUUUCAAAAGCAUCAUGGAAACUGCCACACCAUGUUCAUGUCAAAAGCAAUUGAAAUGCUACCUCUUCUUAUCUUCUUCUUUCUUUCUUUCUGCUUCAUAUUUUCAAACAGCAAUGUCUUUUCUGUCAAAUCAUAAAAGAGAACAAGAAAAUAAACAAGUACUAACCCAGAAAAGCAGUAGAAACAAACAGGAAUCUAAAGGCCACUUUUAGUCCAUUCAACUCUAAAACAAACAGAUUCACAGUUUCUAAGAAUGAAAAACAAAAACAAAAAUUCAAAUACAGAGAAAGGUAACUAGAAGUUAGAAUUCUAACUAUUUCUUCCUUAGAAAAACACAGAUUACAGAGGAAACAGAGAGAACAGAGAAAACAGAGAGGGUUUUCUUCAAGAUCCCCAGUUAGAGAACAGAGCUUCCCAAAUCUCAGUGAAAACCUCAAGAAUAACUCUAUGAUGAAGCGACGAAUUCAGUGACAGAAAACACUGCAAAAGCUGCUCGAGAUCCUGGGCUGAAAAUAUCUGCUUCUCAACGAUCAUUUCCACCAUUGAUGUCCUGAAGUCAUUGUACGGAUCGCUCGACUUCUUCACCACCGCAAAGCUAUCCUUCACUUUUCCUUGUAUCGGAAGCAGACCCACUUCAGAGCUCGCUCUUCUCCGGCUAGUACUGUGUCCGUUUCGUGGAGGACGACGUCGUAAUCGAGACCCAGAUGAAUCAGAAGAGUGGCUCUUUGAAGAAAACAGAGUAUCUGUCUCGUCCUCUCUCUUCUCGUCAUCGCUGCUCGACCACCACCCUUUGUAGUUAUUACUAUCAAAAGAAGAAGAGCUGAAGGGGAAAAACUCGCUGCUCGGCUUGUUCUUCUUAGCAUUGCUCGUCUUCUUCUUCUUGUUCUUUUUCUUCUUUUUCUUAUCUCUGUUUUUUCUCUGUCUGAAGCUCUUAUCAUGGUGGUCGUAGAAAGGGUUUAAAGCUGCGAAAGGUGAGGCUGGAGGGCAUGUUUGGCCAUCAGGGUUAAAGGGCUUAACAAAAGGUGAACAACGUUCAAAAAUUUUGCGUCUUGGGAGCAUGACAUCUUUGGUAGAGAUGACACAGUGAUUGUUGAUGAUGGGUUGGUUGGGGUCUGAGCAUUUGGGUCUGCAAAUGGAGGGGAAGGGUCGAGCCACCUGCUUAGGAGGCUCAAUGGUGGGCAAGUCUUGCUGGUUUUCAGGCAAGAACACUGCUUUUUGGAUCACAUCCGAUAAGUUUCGGGAUCGGCAGGAGCCAAAUGAGGAGCGAAUCAUGUUAGAAAGCUUGAGCUUGAAUCGGUUUUCCAUUGGAGAGAGCUAUGGAGAACAGAGUUUGAGAGAGAGAGAGAGAGAGAGAGAGAGAUAGAGAUGGAGGUGUUUGGAUGAAAGGGGUACAAAUGCAUGAGAACCGAAAGUGGGAGUGUUUUGAAUGGUAUUUUAAAUGGAGUCUGAGGAAACUUUUUGCUGUUUUUGUCUUCUUCUUUGUCCUGAACGAGAAAAUAUUGGAUUGAUUAUACACUGUUUGUUGUUGACCCUGUAGCUACAUUCCUUUUUCUUAAUUUUGUUUUUGGGGUUUUCCCUAGGUUAUGACAUAAUGAACCAACUUUAACCCCCAACUAAUCUUUUGUUUUUCUUUCUGUUUUUGGUGGUUUUCACCAAUUUGAAUCUUGCCUUGAGAAUGAAUGGGAAAUUAUUACUUAGAUAUAGCUUACUAUAGCUCUGAAAUUGAAUCCCAUGUAUAAAGAUGUACUUGUGUGAAACCGCGAUAAUAUUAUUUUGCUAUUUUUGGUCAAUCAUGAUAUGUCACGCUUGAUGACUUUUCUAUAUGCAAGUAUGUGAUUGAAUGGUUGGGAUAGUAAAAUUGUCCUAUCCCCAAUUCACACAAGUUUUUCUACAAAAUGAGGGGUGUUUUUAAUUCAAUGUUAGUUUUAGUAUUUAACUAGAAACUCGAUGAAUGAAAUCAUGUAGUAUAAGAUUGAGCAUAAUAUCAGAACAUACAACCUAAGCAGAGGGUCCUAAAUGUACAUUUGCCUGCAUUAUUAGAGAGAUAUGUAGUAAUAUUCUCAUGAAAAACUAAAGAUAGCCUAGUAAAGGUGUUUUAAGUUAAUUUUAUCAAGUAGUUGCGAUUCUGAUCUUAUUCUUUCUCAUUAGACAUGGGCUCUGCCGUUUGGAACUUUGAACGUUUCAGUGGGUAGCCAAAGGGGGGAUGCUUGGGAAGUUUUCAAUGGACAAGUUAGAGAGGAAUAAAAAUACGUUAGUGGAAUAAAAAGUCACUAAUAUAAUGAAAUCUGAGGCCCCUCUGGCUCUCCUGAGCCCUGUGAGAAGAGAACCUUUGCUCUUAUUGUUACAUUAUUAUUUUAAAAACAGGGUUUGCAGUCUUGCAGAGGGACAAGGACAAGCACCCUUCUCAAACACACAAACAGAGAUAUGCAUGAAGCAUGGAAAUGGAAGGGUGAUUAGGCAGGCAGCACCUCUCCUCUUUAUUUCUAAUUGUAGGCGCAGUCUGGCUCUAUAGCACUAUGCACUCGUGACCCAAUAAUUCAAAUUUGUGCUGCUAAUUAAGCUGCAUAUAUAUUACAAUUAUUUAUAUGAAAAUAAUAAAGAAUUGCUGCUUAAUUAGUAAUUAUUUAAGCUAUUAAGCUAUAUAGAGUAUAUGCUUUGCCUAGUCUAUAUGUCCAUGAACUACCAAUUUGAUUUAUUAUAGUAUAUUUUCCUUGCCUAAACACGAAUCUAUUUAUGGGCAGGGACGAGAGGGGUCCCAGGCCCCUUCUCUCUGUCUCUGUGUCUCUGUGUCUCUCUCUUUCUCUUCCAAGCCAUUUCACUCUACUUUUCUCUCUCUUGAACUUGAUGUGUGAAAGCUGUAAGUUAAAAGUUUAUUUCUUGAUUUUUACUUUAGGCUAUACUGGGGUCUGAAAAUGAUUUUCAAAAAGCUCUACAAGAACAUGUAGUGUUUAUACUCUCAUUCCCUUUAUUUUUGUAUUUUGCAAGAGGGCCCUCUAACCUCAAUUACUGCUCUGCCACUGUAUCUAUGUACAAUAAUAUUCUGCAAAACCAUGCAUUUUUCUCCAUUUCACUCUUGAAAUGGGAAGAGAGUUUGCAUCAGCAAUCAAAAAAGGAGAGCUGCAUAAAAAGGGGUGCCCUGGAAAGUGGAAAGCCACCCUAAACAUGCAGGUUUGUAACCCACCACCACCCUGGUUCCAUGCAUAUUUUCAUAUGAAAUAGAGAGUGAGAUUGGAAAUGUGAGAUUCAGAGUGGAGGACAAAGGUUAUAUUGUCACCUUUUCCAUGUUGUAUAUGGGAAAUAUUAUUGUUUUAUCAGCCUUUUGAUGUUUUCAAUCUGAAUUUGGUUUUAUAUGUCUUGUCAACAUGUUCGUGUCUGCUUCCAAUUCGUCGACUGGUUAAAAGACAAAUUGAAAGGACCUAAAACUCUUGGCUGCACCAAAGAACUUGAAUUUCAUUUCAUUUCAUUACUGAGUUAUUUGGUACGUUUCAAUUUUGCCAAUAAAAACAAACAAGUACAUGGGGUCAAAAACCUGUGUGCGCAUUAUAUAAUAUGAUCAGUCAAGAUCCAUUGCUCCAUCUAUAAAUCUCUUAAUUUGAAGAGCAUCUCAAAGUCUUAGAAGCUUCCAACAGCACAAAUACAUAUCAAGUAGGGCAGGUCCUUAGCCUUUACAACCAAGAUUGCUCAUGCAACCAAAAGCUAACGGACAGUCUUUCUGCAGUUGGAUUCAUUUUUCAAGUGGAAGUCAGCUCAGUGACAAGAAGAAACCUCUUGGCAGGACAUAGAUUUCCUCAUCCACUACUCUCACUUGCUUUCAUGCUUUGGUUAUGAUUAUAAAGGCCACGCCACAGGCUCUGAAAAUUUCAAACCAAUUUGAUCUGGACUUGCAAAAAGGGUUAGUGUUUGACAUUUUUGAGUAUGACUUUUGGGUGAAGUUAUGGGUUCAUUUGUAGAAAUGAGGGAAUAUUUUUGGAGCAAAACAAAGACAAGGGCAAUAAACCAAACCAUGAGACAAGUUUGCAUGACACUCAUCAACCCUAAUUUUAUGUGCAAUCUCUAAAAUUCAGAUGGAUAUAUGUUUUGUUUUGUUUAGCAUUCGAAGUUGCAAAUUUGGCAGCCUUUUUCAAAUCAAUCAAAGGAGGGAAAGAUGUCAAGCCAAUUAUAGGGAUGGAAAAGUAAAAGGGUCAUGACUCGUGAUAAAAGCAUAAAAACUUACCUAUAACAGGGAUAUUACAGUUUUGAUAUUCCCAGACAAUAACACAAUGACACGUAGAAAAAUUAUUCUACUUGUCAUUGUGUUAUUGCCCAGUGAUUAGAGUUUCUCUCCAUGAAAAGUGGUUUGGACCUUUUUUUUACCAUGUCCAGUAACUCGAGUCAAUCAAACUUCAGUUUUUGUAUAGAUCUACCCGUGAACAACUAUUUUUGUCUUGCUUGUUUGUCAUCCUCAUGUCUUGUCUACGUUUUAUGUUCCCUCUUGUUUUUUACACUUGUGAACAGAGUGGUUAUACAGUUAUUGGAAAUUAGUCAGUUCUGAUAUGAUCUGUUUAUUUUGCAGCCUACGUCUCCCUCUUUGUAGAAGUGAUAUCAGUGCGACUCCGGCGGGAGGGGCUAGCCUGAGCAAAAGGCCCCAUGGUCCCUAAUUUCGUUUCCAGCGAUUAAGGCUUGUUAGGACAAGCACUGGGCUCCAUUAGCCCAAGUAACGCCGAAGGCAAGACUUGCUUGGACUGUGGGCAAGAUGACUUAAUGCUAACGUUAUUGUGACGUCAAUAGCAAAUUUAAAUAACAAAAAAAUUAUUUUAAAAAAAGGAAAAAAAACCAAAAUUUUUAGAUUUAUUUUAUUUUAUUUUAAAAUACCUAGCCAUAUUCAUCAUUUCUCAUGCCAAAACUCUAUACAAAUUCCUCUCUUCAUAUCUCAUGUGAAUAGUGGUUGCCCUUAGCUUGCCAUAGCAAUGAGUGGAAAACCAACAAAAAAAUUGCUAGGGCAGGCACUAUUCAUGUGAAUAGUAAUAGCCCUUGCCUCCCUUUGCCCUUUUCCAUGACAAAUGGGUGAAAAUGCUCUUAGUAAACGCUUUAAUCAUUUGAGUAACAAACUCCUUACUCUAUAACACUAUGUAAGUAGGUUUGAAGCGUAAAAUUUGUCUCGUGUUACUGGUUAUGUCACUAUGGGUUUACUUCAUCCUUACUUCAAACAAAUGUUAUUUUGUAAGUCACUUAUUAUUGUAGCUCUUUUACUUUCAUAUUUUGUGAAAAUACAAAAACACUUACAAGUACCGUAACACAUUAUAAUGCAUAAUUAGGAUAAGAAUACAGUCACUACAUUAUGGCAACACAGUCACUACAUUUCUCUCAGUUCCCUUACCCUAUUGGCAAUGCUUGUAUCUCUAUCUUCAAAAAGAGCCCCCAUCUCUUCUAAGGUCUUGCCUUUUGUCUCUGGUAAAAAGAAGUAAAAAAAGACCGUACCAACCACCAUGAUUCCCGCAAGCACAAAAAACAUUCCACCAAAUGUUAUCUUAUUAAAAAUGGUUAGAAACGUCAUUGACACCACCCCGCUCACCAACCGGUUCACUGAUAUGGCCAGGCUCGAACCUUGGGCCCGUAAUCUCAUCGGGAAGAUCUCCGAUGAGUAGACCCAGGUUAUUGGGCCAAGCCCAAUUGAAAAGAACGAGACAUCGGCGCAAACAGCCAUGAUACACAACGCAAUGGCCCACGUUGGCUUGGUACUCGAAUGCUCGAGAAACUUUGACCCAAGGCCUAGCCCAGCUAAUGAAAUCACCAGCCCGGCACAGCCCAGUAGCAAAAGGGGCCGCCUCCCAAAGCGAUCCAAGUAGCUGGCCGAUAGGAACACAGAGGACGUCUUGGUCAGGCCCCUUAUCACAUUGGCACCGAAAAGCUGCUUUCUGCUGUGAAUUCCAGCAGCCUUGAACACUUCCGGACAGUAGUAGACGACGGCGUCGUUUCCAGAAGCUUGCAUGAAGAAGUUUAUCCCAAUAACAACAAUGAGCAUCCGACGAAUGGGCUUAGAAGGAUGUACCAAAAGCUCCUUCCAAGCCCCUCGUCCAUCUUCAUGGGUCGUUAAUGGGCCUGUGCUAGGGGGUAAAGCUAAAGCAGCCUUGCUAAUCUCCUCGAGCCUCAAUUGAGCUUCCUCUUCAGAAGCAGAUGUUCUGAUCAGCACCUGUUUUGCUUCACUUAAUUUGCCUUUCAUCACAAGCCAAUGAGGGGACUCAGGCAUGGCUAUGACCCCCAACCCUAUACCGACAGCUGGCACCGCGGCUAACUCUAGCAUUAAUCUCCAAUUUAUGUUUGGUGGUAGGCCAGACAAAGCAUAAUUAAUUAUGUAACCAACUAACAGGCCAAUUGUGAUGAACACCUCAGGAAGAGAGGUGAGGAAGCCCCGGUUCAUGGCGGGCGAGAGCUCUGCGAUGUAGACUGGGGCAAUCAUGAGGGCGUAGCCUACGCCAAUGCCAGCCACGGCACGUCCGGCCAUGAGGAAUAGGUAGGAUGUGGCCAGGCCCAUUAGGAGUGCACCUAUUAGAAAUGUGCAUGCGGCUAAGACUAUAGUGUAACGCCUACCUAUAUAAUCUGAUGUUUUCCCGGAUGCUAGCGAUCCAAAUAAAGAGAACAUGUUUAGGGUUCCUACCAAGACUUCCACUUGUGUUGAUGUGAUCUUGAGGUUCUCUUUGAUGUAAAGCACUGCCCCGCUCAUCACUCCAAUAUCUGCACAAUUUCAUGCAUUUUUUUGGGGUGAAAUUGAAUAGAACUUGUUAAAUUAAUCCAAAACUACAAAAUAAAAAUUAAAAAAUGAACUUACCAUAACCCAACAGAAUGGAGUUUGUAGAGGCCAGAAGAGCGCAGACGAUGGUGUAUUUGUUCAUCCCAGUCCCAGCUUUUUCAGAAUUGGCCUUGGGAUUUUGGUGUUGAAUUUUAGCCACAUCCAUUUUCCUCGGCUCCUUUUUUCUUCUUCUGAGAAUUUGUAGAUGAAAAUCUGUGACUCACUGACUCACUAACUCACUGGGGGGUUUUUGUGGGUGGGUGAGGAAGAAGCUAAGAGUAAAUGGGUUUUGUUAGGUUGCAGAGGUGGACCAAAAUUGCAUGAGGCAUGAAGAACACGUUCUGCAACUGAAGCAAUCACAUUGUUUAGGUGGCAUUUCUCUAUUGCCAUUUACAUUUGUUAUGUGGUUUAGGCCCAAAAUAAAACCACAGACUUGUGCACCUGUCCAUGCUACUUUCGAGUCUUCUGCUUUGCUAUAAAUGUUGUUCAGUCAUCUCAUUCAUUCAACUUCGUAUCUCGAGUCUCAUUCAAUUUCCUUUUUCAUGGAUUGAGGAAAUAAAGAAAGUAAUUUAAUCUCGUUCCGAAAACAUCAUCUCGAAUAUCCAGUGUAAUCUGAUUCACUAAUAAAAUCUAAAAUACAAUCUCUUUUAGCGUUACUCACAAUGCGUUAAAAUAUGGACGAUUUUUCGUGACUAAGACUAACAAAGAAGCAUUUUAUGGUUCUCCUCGUCCUCUUCCUCAUGGACUUGAUCCUCAAAUAGAACCCCAAUUUCUUCUAAGCUCUUCCCUUUGGUUUCUGGCAAAAAGAAGUAAAAGAAAACUGUGCCCACCACCAUUAUUCCUGCAAGAGCAAAAAACAUUCCUCCAAAUGUUAUCUCCCUAGAAAUGCUUAGAAAUGUCAUGGCCACCAACCCACUCACCAAUCUGUUCACCCCAAUGGCCAAGCUUGAACCUUGAGCCCUCAGCCUCAUCGGAAAUAUUUCUGACGAAUAUACCCAUGUGAUGGGCCCAAGCCCAAUAGAAAAGAAUGAAGCUGCAGAGCAAACAGCCACCACACACAACCCAAUUGCCCAAUCUGGUUUGUCACCUGAAAACUCAAGAAACUUUGAACCAAAGCCUAAACAAGCCAAUGAGAUUGCCAUGCCAAUAGAGCCCAACAACAGAAGUGGCCGCCUUCCAAACCUGUCCAAGAACAGAGCUGAUACUAGAACAAAGGAAGUCUUGGCUAUGCCCAUGAGGAUUGUGACACCCACAAGAUGUUUCUUGUUGUGAAUUCCGGCCUCCCUGAAGACCUCCGGGCUGUAGUACACAACGGCGUCAUUGCCGGAGGCCUGCAUGAAGAAGUUGACGCCGAUGGCAGCGAUUAGAAUGCGGCGGAUGGGCCUAGUGGGCCUCAAUAGUAACUCUCUCCAAACCCCUUGUCCAUGCCAGUUGCUGCUUAAUGAAGUGCCUGCUGCUGGGGUACUAGUGAUCAACAAUGAGGACGCAGCUUUUGCUAUCUCUUUGAGUCUCAAUUCAGCUUCCUCUUUGGUUUCAGAUGUUCUCAUCAAAACCUGCUUUGCUUCAUCUAACCGGCCUUUCAUGACCAACCACCUAGGCAAAAAUAUCAACAACUAUAUAUUAAGUACAUGUUAUAAAAAUUUGAGUGAAAUAUAGCAACAACAAAAAAGGGAACAAAAUUUCAAACCAUGCACCUACCUAGGUGACUCUGGCAUUGCCAACACAGCCAAUGCAACAGCAAUAGCAGGGAAUGCUGCAAGGCCAAGCAUAAGUCUCCAGUUUAUGUUUUGUGGCAUGCCCGAUAAAGCGUAGUUGGAGAUGUAGCCAAGUAGAAUUCCUCCAUUGAUGAACACCUCAGGGAGAGAGCUGAGGAAGCCCCGGGUGAGAGCCGGCGAGAGCUCAGCCACAUAGACUGGGGCAAUCAUGAGAGAGUAGCCAACUCCAAUCCCAGCCACAACCCUACCAGCUAUGAGGAAGGGGAAGGAUGGUGCCAGUCCCAUUAGAAGUGCACCUAUUAGAAAUGUUGCUGCUGCCAGGACUAUAGUGUAACGCCUGCCAAUCCAAUCUGAAGUCUUGCCUGAGGCAAGUGAUCCAAUCAAAGAACAUACAUUCAGAGAACCAACCAAGAUUUCUACUUGGGUUGUUGAGAUAUUAAGGUCCUCCCUGAUGAAAAGAGCAGCACCACUCAUCACCCCAAUAUCUGCAAACAAAUCAAGUCGUCCGUACUCAGAAAUUAAAACAAACACAAACCCUCCUCUGUUCUGUUCUGUUCUUGAUGAAAUAUUCUCCUUUAUUUUAUUAUAAAUUUCAAUGAAUUAAUUUGGUUUGAUAGAAUCGUGGGUUUUAUGUGGACUGAAAAAUAUUAAGGAAGGUACUGACCAUAACCCAAGAGAACAGAGUUGGUGGAAGCCAACAAAGCACCAGCAAGAGCAUAUUUGUUGAGACUGGGCUGUGUGGCUUUGAGUUUUUCCGGUGGAUGAUCAGAAGCUCCGGUGGCCAGCACAGGCCAUGUUGGUUGUCUUUUACUGUCACUUUUCAGUUGGGUAUCUGCAGAAAAUGGGGAUUCAGACUCUGAAUCAGCAGCAGCAAGUAAGUGAUAAUGGUGGUCCUUGUUGCUUGGCUCCAUUAGCGUAGCAGGAGCGAGUGACGAUCUCUGUGUUUGGGAAGACGGUAAAAUUGGAAAGGCUUCUUAUGUAUAGUAGACAUAGAAAGAGAGAGAUAAAUAUGUGUGUGUGUGUGUGUGUAUGUGCGCAAGUCGUUUGUCGUUUGAAGGAGGGGAUGGAUGUGCAUCAGUUCUUGUAUAUAUCAUUUGCAUGUAUGGUAAUUGAAGACAAGUAUAUCUUCUAUAUUUGCUCUAAUGUAAACGGUGAAUUAGUAAUAAGAGAAAUGGAAUGGCUGGUGGAAGUGAUUUUUAGUCUCAUUUUCUCCGUGCUCCUUCCUUUUUUUUUUUUCUUGAUAGUUUUUAUAGAUUGAAUAAAUGGAAGGAGAAGAAUCAAUGGUCCAAAAACAAGGGAAUGAGUUUAUAAGGAGAAAAACGAGAAUUUGAAAUUCACUAUGCGUUAUUAAGUGGCUGCGUUUACUUUUUGGAAAAGCUGCUUUUGUAAAGUUAGACAGGCCACGCUGCCUCCACACGCCUCCUCUGUCAUAUUCAUAUGCCCGCCAAUAUAUAUAUGGCAGGACUCAUGAAGAGAGUUGGACCAAGCCAGCGCACGCAGCCACACAACAACACAAAAUGCAUAUAGAUAUAGAUUAGCAUAUCUUAACAAAUUAGCGAGCAUGCAUUAUAUAUAUAUAUAUAUUGUGAUCAUUAUCAAUAUCAUGUAUUGAUUUGAUCUGUAAAUAAUGGCCAACAAAAUGUCCAGUACCAUUAUUAUAUAUGUAAUCCCCAUUUUGGCAGUGGGGUUGGGAGGAUAGGGCACAAUCUGAUGGAGAAGUACUUUGAUAAGUGACACGAGAGAGAUAGGAACAAUGCAACGGAAUAGGGAAGUUUUUCUCCCGCUUAUAAGCCCCCAACUUGGUUUGAAUGAAAAUUGAACAAGCUUCAGUUGAAGAAGAACAGUUGAACAAGCUUCAGUUGAAGAACAGUGGUGAUUAAGCAGCACUUGAAAUGUGACAGAAGAAUAAUUGCUUAGAUUUGAAUCUCAGAUUCUGAUAGAGUUCAAAGGAAGAAAAAGUGAAAAGCAAGCAAACCCCACAGUCCCACUCAAUCAUUAGCUAGCUAGCAUGCUCAGUUCAGUCGAGUUGUACCAGCAGAAGUCGAUGGAGAGAGUGACUAAUAACCAACAAAUGACAGAAGACGAAUGUUCCUCUAUAUUUGAAAUAAUAUGCAGUGCAGCCUCUGUUGUUCUUGGAGCAAUAUUCAUUUGCAAAUUGAAAAACACCACAGAAAAUGAAGAACUGCAACUAAAAAACACCAUUUUGCUUCCUUUUUGUCAGAUUUGACUGACAGAGGACUGCUAGUGCACUGACUGACUGCCACCAUGGAUAGUUCAGUGGGCUCCACCUGCUCUGCUGUCAUGCUAAAACGGCGCCAUCUACACAAUGUAAUUUACACCCAUGCAUUGCUAAGCGCAUUUCCGUGGCAAACUUGAAAACCAGAAAGAAAGAACCAAAUAACACCGCUACAACCACACCGUCAAGCUCUCAACUUUGAAGCACAUUAAGCUUUAACAUUCUCCCAUCCAAACUAUAUUCUAGUGUUUCUUCUUCUGCCAGUGCCACAGAAUCAAAUUACCAAACAUGGUAUGGUGAAUUUCUCCAUCCCAAAUUUCAGAUAUGAAAAUUUUAUGUAUAAAUGAUACAAAGUUUGAAACUUUUCGUUUGUUUUGAUUUUACUCUGUUUUGUUUUUUUGGAACGAAACAGAGCAAAGGAACGGCAAGCUUCGGGAAGAGGAGGAACAAGACCCACACGCUGUGCGUGCGGUGCGGCCGCCGUAGCUUCCACCUUCAGAAGAGCCGUUGCGCCUCCUGUGGCUUCCCUUCCAGCCGUAUCAGAAAAUGUCACCUUUCAAAUUUUUAACUCUUGCUCUUGAUUUCGCUUCCUUUAUUUAUUUAUUUUGUUUUUUGAGUUUGCCAAUUGUUACUUAUGUGGUUGGAAAAAAAAAACUAGAUAACUGGAGCGUGAAGGCGAUCCGAAGAAAGACAACAGGGACUGGUAGAAUGAGGUACCUUCGCCACGUUGCUGUGAGAUUCAAGUUUAACUUCAGAGAAGGUUUAACAAUAACAAAGCUGAUACAUUUUUUCAUUAGAUCAUCGAUGCUAUGAUGCAAAAUUUGAUUUUGAAAAAUUGGUUUUGUGUUGUGUGCAUUGUUUGUGAACUUGAAGGUACCGAGGCAGGUCCAAGAAAGAAGAGAGCUUCGUCAUCGUCUCAAGCUUCGAGCCUCUGAGCUUCCAGCUUCAAGCUUCAAGCUUUGGGUUGGCUAUGAAUGCUAAUAAGACUAGUUUUGGCUUGUAGUUUAGUUUGUACUAGUAAGUAACAUGUAUGGAGUUCAUUACAGACUUGGGCUUUUUAAAACUACUAUAUAAACAAACGACAAUUCCAUUCUCAAAAUAAUCUUUGCUUGGAGCUGAACAGACCAGUCUGAGUUUGCUCUUUACAUACAGUAUUGGCCUGGUCAAACAUUACACAAGCUCAAUCAGAGAUUUUUCUUUUUUCUUUUUACGGUAUUUACAUAUAAAGAAUUAGAGCAGUGAGACUGGGAGACAAUUCUACAAACUCAUCCCUGAGUUAUCAAUAUAUUCAGAAACCUGUGAAGCAAGUUGAUAGGACCAGUUCACAGCAGUGCCAAAAAAGAGCUCCCAAAACCAGAGAUCCAAUGCAAGCACCGAGGAAAAUAUGAGCAACGCCAAAGUCUGGUAGCGGUUCAAAGGCCAACCUGAUACUUCAGCCAUUUUCUUCAGAAAUGGAAGGGAACUGCUAUUCAAAUCCUGCUUUCUUAUGGACCACGCAGAUAUCCACUGCGCCUGAGUAGGGAUCAGCUCCAGCUCUUGUAAUCGCCUCCCGAGAUCCGGCAUGUGACCCCCUCCGUAUAGUAUUGCAAUCCUGUUAUUUCCACCGUCGAUUGCUUUUCUGAGUGCAUCCAUGGCGGCUCUGUUUCUCUCACCAAUAAUCACAGAGCUCUCUUCUACAUCAGCCGUAGCCUGCGUGAAUCUUAAACAAGUAAAAUACUUUUAUGUCAGUUUUGAGAAUUUUGCACCAACCCACAAUGUAAAACCAUACGCUUUUGAGACGAAGAACCCAAAUAAUAAUUAGUUUGACCAGCCAUACAAUAUGUUCAGCUGGAAGCAGUAAAGAAAAAGAGAAAAAACUUAGCAAAUCCUUACUCGGAUGUAAGCCUCUUUGCCAAGAAGACCUUCAUUGCUGCACCAAAAUCAAGCCUAGACAAGGCUUCAAAUUCUGGAAAUUCCGAGUCCUCACUGCCCGUGUCUGCACAGACACCUCCAAUAAUGAGAAGGCCGACAAGUGGCAUAGGAAGCACACGUGCAGCCCACUUAAGCUUAGAUCUCCAAGGACCAAGGCCUUCUGGGAUUGUAGCAGUUUGAAUCAUAGCUUUCGUGGAUCUAACAGUCAUGUCUCUUGCAAAUGUGAAGAAGCUUUCACCUUUUUCUUGCUGAAAACAAAUGACAAUGGCAUCAGAUGCAACAAUGAUAUUAUUCUCAAGCAAUGAUGGAAGAGAAAAGAAGAGAGAUAGAGGUUCUUCAUAUAUACAGCCCCUGAAAUCAAACUACCUAUGCAGUACACAAAAAGGAGAGAGAAAAUAAAAACCUGAAGCAAUUGGAAAGUCUCGAAGUCGAGGUCUGCAUGGUACCAAUUCUCAGACUCGUAAUCAAGACAGUCUAAUUGGAAAUCAAGCGUCAGAAAUCGAGCCAUCUGUCUCUGAAUGCAUCCCAGAAUGUUAAAUCCUUUUGAGCGUGAACCUUUGACUUUGAGUCUUUUUGUGGCAGCAAGGAUUCUUCUGUUCUCUAAACUCUCCCUGCUUGUUACCAUCUCAUAAAGGACACAAUCAUAGGACUCAAGUUCCUUUUGCAGGGUCUCAAAGUACCUGGACAUGGUACUUGGGAUCAUUAACAUUGUAUAAUCUGAGACAGCCAAUUUUUGCACAUAUAGGUUAAGAAAACAUCAAGUUAUGACCACUGUCAAAAGUUACAAUAGACACCAACACAAAGCUCAAAGUGAAGCUGAAAAAGAAAUAUUCUGCAUAUCCCUAAUUCUGAAAAUAAGUUCUGACAAAUUCCAUCUAAGUUAAUUAAAGCGGUUUUCCUAGCACCAUUUCUUAAAGUCUCUUACACUCUUGGCAUGCAUAGGAGACUCAUAAUCAAAACUAGGCUUCACAGAGGUUUAUCUUCAUGGCAUUUCCUUAGGACUUUAUAUUGCCCAAGUACAUUAUUUUCCUUGAAAGCACAUCUCAAACAAGCCAUGAGAAUAGAACUUAAAUGGAAGUUACCCUUGAAAACUUCAUCUCUCAAACAACAAGCAUUAUAUUUACUAAGCUCAAAUUGCGCCCGCUGGUUGAGCGACAGCAAGCUUUUAGCUUCUGAGUAGAGUAAACUAUCAAACAGUUGAAAUUACAAGUAGAUAACUGCCAAAAUACUGAAGAAGAAGAAGAAAUUGCAAGAAUAAGAAUGAUUGUUAGGAAAUACAUACUCUUUAUCCGCGAUGUGAAUUGUCGAAACCAAAUCAACCUACAACAAACCCGGAAAUUAGAAAGAAGACCCGUGAAGAAACAAAAAGGACCUAUGAAGAGAAGCCAAUUCCAUGCACAAAACCUGAAGAAAAGGCCUCAAAAGCGACCAAGGGAACCUCUUUUUGUAGCUAACAACCGCAGUUUGCAACUCCCCAGUGCCUCCAUCAACGCCCCUUUUGAACCUCAUGAAAUCCGCAAUCGAAUUGUUUCGUAAAAACUGCUCAGCCGAGCCAUCCUCAAUUGGGUUGAUUGAAGAAGAACCAAAAACCUUGAAAGGAGCUAGCUUUGAGGCUUUGGGAAAUUUAAGGCUUCGUUUGGAUAAUCCAAAGGGCCUGACUUUAAGGCUUGUAGAAGUGGAAGAAGCAUCGGUGUAAGCGUUGGAAUUGGAGGGAAACGAGGAUGUAGAUGAGAGAAUUGAGAGUGAAGUUGAGACCAUGCUUUCUCUCCACACAGAGAGAGAGAGAGAGAGAGAGAGAGAGAAUUGGGUGUUUGGAUAAACAAAGAGGAAAUGGCGUUUUUGGAUGGAGUGGAAAGGAGUUGAACCUGGUUUCAGGUUAUUGCGGAUUUUUAUUUAUUAUUGUUUUCUUUUUGUCAAUUUUUAAAAUAAAAUAAUUUUUUCCUUAUCUAUAUAUAAAGCAAAAGACAGAGAACGGUGAAACAUUCAAAAUACUAAAAAAUGUCUUUAGUUAAUUUAUACAUUAAGAAUUGAAAUUAUUAAUUAAAGGGAGAUAAUAUAGCAAAUAUACAUUUUUUUCAUAUUAAAAAAAUAAAAUUAAAAACAAAAUCAAAUAAUAAGUCCUAUUUUUAUGUAACAUAACUACUUAUGUUAUCUUUCCUUAAUUCUACAAAUAAAAUAAAAAAUAAAAAAUAAAAAAUAAAACCAAUUGGCACAUGCGUGGGGCUAGUAUUAAUGCGAGGAGAUUUUGUGUGUGUGUGUGUGUGUGUGUGUGGAGGAGGGGGAAAAGGGAAGGAGGUUUCAUUGCAAAUACCAAAACAAAUAAAAGCUUAAAAAAACACACGACAAUACAAUUUCAUACAUCUACACCAAUUCAUCGCAUCCGUACAAUAAAUAACCAUGGAAACUGCAUUAGGUGAGAGAACCCACAAGGAGGACAUAUCCAAUGAAAAAGAACCUGGAUGGUUGACAAUUUCAGACCCAUGUAAUGUAAAUGGUCAGAGCUACUCCAGGAAAAAAGUUCACAAUACAAAGCAAAGACAUGUCGGACAACUGUGAUCAUAAACAAAAAGGAAUUACAAGAAAUCCCAUGAAUUUCAUGUUACAAAAAUCAUCAUGCACCAGAAUUCGCUACUUCAGGAUCCUGUUUUUUAUCUGAUUUUACAUGACUUUCUUGUGAAACUUUCACCAGUGGACUCGUCUUCUUUACCACCAUACGUCUCAUCUGCCAUGGAAUCAACCUGAAGCAUGCAACCAGUCGCAAGUAACCUGUCCUCUUGGCCUUCUUUCAGUUUCACAGUGGACUCGUCUUCUUUACCAUCGUAUGUCUCAUCUGCCAUGGGGUCAGCCUGAAGAGCGCAACCAGUCACAAGUAACCUGUCCUUUUGGCCCUCUUUCAGUUUCACAGUGGACUCGUCUUCUUUACCACCAUACGUCUCAUCUGCCAUGGGAUCAACCUGAAGAGCGCAACCAGUAACGAGUAACCUGUCCUCUUGACCUUUCCUCAUUUUCACUGAAAACAAGAAACCACUUAACUUAGAACAAUGCAUGGUAUAAGCCAACAAUAGUACCCUAAUUAUCACGGUCAUCCUUGCCUUGCCUCAAUCAGAUGGGGUUAAAAGCAUAUACUAUCACAAAAUAUGACAAAUAGCUGACGACUCUUACCAAGGGGAUUCUAUCCAAAUCCUGCUUAAUUCUAAACUUUCAUUAUAUUUGAUUUAUUUGUACACAAUUAGUAUCAAGGGUCAAAUUAUUUCUAUAUCUGUUGGAAAAAAGACUACUAGAGUUGGAACCCCUAUCUACAGUAAAGAAAUUAUUCAUUUCAUACAUCCAAUUUAAUAGGGAAAGUCAUGAUAAUUGUCAGAAACAUGAUAGAACCAUUGUAACAUCAUGAGGACAUCAAUGUGGUUUGAGGACAUUAGUCUACUAGUUUCCUACCUCGCAGGUUACAUCUCUUUACAUGGUGGCAUCUCAAUUGUUGGCUUCACAAAAGAAGCAGGAAAUAUCAAUCAACAUGCAUCUAUAAACCCUUCCAUGCUCAUGUAAACUUAAAAUGCAUGCUGUUGCAUAGAAGUUAGAAAAAUUCGGCACUUGAUAAGAGAUGGAUGAUUUAUCACCGGAAAAACACAGUAUGAUGAGAUAUCACACAAUGUAACAAAGACAACAUACUAUGAUCUUUUACACACAUCUUCUAAAGCACGAACAGAGGACACAAUUUAGUAAUAUUACCACAGGAAGGGCCUUACCAUCUUGAGGAGGCUGAGGGCGCGCAGAACCCUUCUUCCCGGAUUCCUUUUUCUGUUCAGUAUUGUGGUUCGGGUUGGGAACAAUCUUCUCGUUCAGCUCAGGGCAAGUUGGGAUGAGAUGCCCUUUUUUCCGGCAUAUCACACAUAUCUGCAAGCAACACAUCAAAACCAGAACAUCACUAUAAAUUUGACUCCUAAUCAUAACCCCAACUUCCCAAAAGAUUACAAUUAACCAAUUUCUUCAAACAAUAAGAAAAAAACCCAAAAUUGAUUCAAGGCACACACAACAUUUCCAUGAUUAAACAACAAGACACGCAAUAUAUAAACACGAGCAAUCCUUCUUUUCCAAUUUAUGCUAACUACUAGGAAUUAUUAUCAACUUACUAAAGAAAAAUAAAAAUUAGAUUCACCAAUGACAAAUAGAACCCACUUCAACAUAUUUUGGCCCUUCAACAUUCUUUGCCGCAUCAAUUUUCUUUGCCGCUGUGGUUUUGCUCUUCUUGCUUUUGACUGCUUUGGUUUUGCUCUUCUUGCUUUUGACUGCUUUGGUUUUGCUCUUGUUGCUUUUUACUGCUUUGAGUAUUGGCUCUGGCGCAUCAACAGGGGCUCUGGUUUUGCUCUUCUUUUUCUUCCUCUUCUUGGUUUUGCUCUUCUUUUUCUUCCUCUUCUUGCUUUUGACUGCUGUGAGUAUUGGCUCUAGCUCCGCAUCAACUUUAACUUUCUUUGCCGCAUCUUCUUGUCCUGCCGCACCAACUUGGGCUGCAACAUCAACUUGGUUUGCCGCCUCUUCUUGCUUUUGACUGCUGUGAGUAUUGGCUCUGGCUCCGCAUCAACUUUAACUUUCUUUGCCGCAUCAACAGGGACUGUGGUUUUGCUCUUCUUUCUCUUCCUCUUCUUGCUUUUGACUGCUGUGAGAAUUGGCACUGGCUCUGGAUUUGCCUUUAUUGCUGACUUCUGUAGAGCUUGAUUUAUUACAAUAGAUUUUUGGGCAUCAAUAAUGGGAUUUACAUCAGCAUCAACAUAGAUUAAGAUUGGUUUCUGAGGGUUCUUCUUCUUCCUCUUCUUCUUGUUUACGUCUUUUGCGAGUGUUGGCUCUACUUUUGGGAGCAGUUCGGGGUGCUCUACCUUUGGGAGGAGUUCUGGGUUUUUUUUCACCAUUUUCGUCUGAAGCUGCCAAGGGCAAAGGGGUUGCAGAGAUUUUGCGAGGGUUUUCGUUUGGCGAGACAAAUUGGGGCUUUGAGGAGCUGCAGAGCUGAGUAUGCCGAAGACUUGGUUAUGGGAGACCAAAUGAGUUCCAACAUCGCAAGGACAAAGGUUGGCAUGACCCAACAAAUAGGUCCAUCAGAGCAUCAAGGCCCAUCAGCCGACUUCAUUUCUUUCAGUUGGAUCUACGCCCUAGGUCCAAUAAAUUAAGGAAAUUUUAGUGCUCAGAAUCUCAGAUGGCAUACUUAUAACUUAAUUAUGUAGCUGUUGUUUUAACAAGAAAUAAUCUAAAAUACUUUAAAUUAAUCUAAUCCAUGGGGAAGAUCACUCAAACUUGGGCGGCGGACUCCCUGCCCUUACCAACUAGUUGUUAGAGCAUCUCUAGCAACAUUUUCCAAAAUUUGGUUAAAUUUGAUGACACAAGUUCAUUAGAUUGAAUCAUUUAAGGGAGACAGAGCGAGAGAACAAAAUUUGGCAAAAAAUUAAUUUUCCUCCCCCGAAUACUCAUACUUGGCUAGCAACUGUUCACAGAGUUAAUUGUGGAUGGCUAAACUGCUGGAGUGAUUUUUUGGAGGAGUUUCAGAAAAAUAUGUCAUCUAAUAUAAUUUACAAGAUGAAAAACAAAACAAAAGAAAAAAGAAGGGAAGUUUAUUAAUCCGUACUUGGAUUAAGAUGAAUUGAAUUGAGGCGGAGUUUGAUUGAAGAGAAUUAGAUUCCGAAUUCUUAUUGAAUUUGUUUACUAAACUAUAUGAAUUGAGAGUAGUUAAAUUCUGAAUUCCUAUUGAAGUUAUUUACUAAACCAUAUGGAAUUGGAGUAUGAGUGGUACUAAUUACUAAAAUGUUCUUGUUGUUAGCUUAAAAUAGAUGGCAAUUUUGGAAUUUUGAAAAUUGUGUGAGGAUAUUAUGGGUAAAAAAGAUGAAUUCCUAAUGGAUUAAUUCUUCAAGAAUUAGAAUACCACAUCUCAUCCAAGAAUUGAAUUCAAUUCCUAAUUUUAUGUGAGCCCCACUUACUUUUCAAUUCCUUGAUGUGAAGCUCCUAAAGUGAAAUUCAAUUCCUAAUGAGAAUUCCAAUUCCUGAUUAGUAAACACCAUCUAAAGAUAUCUGUUAAUUCAUUAGAAAAACUAAACGAGACAUUGAAAGCUUUUGAACUAUGGUUUUCUACUAACAUAUAAAAAAUGCCAAUUACACCAAAACCUGCCAGGAAGUAAUCAAAUCCCAACGAAUAAAAUAAUUUCUGCAAAUACUCAAUACCACUACAAUCUCCAGCAGUAAAGAGCAGCCGAACCUCAUGACCACAUGUAGAAAUCAAGAGAGAGCUGGAGAAAC